rnacentral:lncRNA from 1 species
GAACACAUAGACUACAACUAGAACGAUACAGCCUGCGUGUGGGUGAGAGAGAGAGAGAGAGAAUGGCUGCUGGUUCUCAGACUAUCAUAGCUCCCACUGAUGCUGAGCUCCUGCAGGCGCAAGCCGACCUAUGGCGCCACAGCCUCUACUACCUCACAUCCAUGGCGCUCAAGUGCGCCGUCGAGCUUCACAUCCCAACUGCUAUCCAUAACCUUGGAGGGGCUACCACGCUGCCAAACCUGGUAACCGCACUAUCCCUUCCUCAGACUAAGCUUCCAUUCCUCCGCCGGUUGAUGCGGCUGCUUGUCACAUCAGGCAUCUUUGCAUCUGAAAGAGAUGCAGAGGUGGAGACCUACCGCCUCAACCCACUCUCCUGGCUCCUGGUAGAAGGUGUGGAAGCAGAAGACCACACCUACCAGAAAUACUUUGUGCUCGGCACGGUCUCACGGCAUUAUGUUGAGGCUGGAUUGUCUCUCGCUGACUGGUUCAAGAAGGAUUUGCCUGCCUCACUACCAUCGCCAUUCGAAGAAUUACAUGGUGUGCCACUCGUCCACGAGACUACAAAGCUCCUUGACGAAGAGCUUGACAGAAUUGUCAAUGAAGGUGUGGCUGCACAUGACAAUUUGGCAAUUGGAACCAUUAUUCGAGAGUGCAACGAUCUCUUCAAGGGUGUUCAAUCACUGACUGAUUGCUGUGGUGGUGAUGGCACGACUGUGAGGGCAAUCGUCAAGGCAUUCCCUGACAUCAAGUGCACAGUGCUGGACCUUCCAAAGGUUAUUGAGACUGCACCAGCUCAUGAUUCAGUAAACUAUGUAGCGGGCGACAUGUUCCACUCCAUCCCACCUGCUCAAGCUGUGAUGCUCAAGGUAUAAAAUGAUGGACAGCAAAAAUAGGGGCUAUUUCUUUCAUGCUUCUAUAGUUCUAUACAAAUAAAAUCAAAAUUCGGAAAUAGAAAUUUGUUUGUCAGAUAUAGACUCAUCUUUUGCCUACAUAAUAACAUAUUAGAUUAUGAAUUAUUUAACUGAGAUGACAUUAAUUAUCUUCUGCAGCUUGUACUGCACUUCUGGAACGAUGAGGAUUGUGUUAAGAUCCUGGAGCAGUGCAGGAAGGCAAUUCCUUCCAGAGAAGAGGGGGGGAAGGUGAUUAUCAUAGAAAUAGUCCUUGGCCCUUCUAUGGGGCCAAUAAUGUACGAAGCCCAACUCCUUAUGGACAUGCUCAUGAUGGUGAAUACCAGAGGCAGGCAGCGGGAUGAAAAUGACUGGCGCGACAUCUUUAUUAAAGCAGGUUUCUCCGACUAUAAGAUUGUCAAGAAAAUAGGAGCUCGUGGCAUCAUCGAAGUUUACCCGUAAGACUGCACACCCUUCAAAAUAUGUUCAAUGUGUGGUUCACUAUGGACAUGACCAUGUGCUGUGAGGAAAAAAAUAAAUGGAGAACCUCAUUUCCUAGAUAAAGUUUCAGCGAUCUGAAAGCAGAUGAGCUGUUCAGCUUUCUUGCAUUGAGAUCCAUGUAGUUUCUGCUUGAAAUGUACUAGAGUACUCUUCGUGGUUUAAUUUCCAGUGUGCUAUGUUGAUUUGACUUCGACCAUAUAUGUUUUAUAUGGUUGUUUGUUUAUGUGUAAGCCACAAGUUAUCAUACAAUGUGUAAUUUAUUAUGAUAUGUCACUGCAUAGUGUACCACUAUAUUUAUGGUGCUGGUAAAAACAGGAAGCCCACCACGCUACUAAAUUCUAUAUAAAUGGAUGGAUAACUAUUGAACAAGUCUCCCCUUCAACAGUAUUUCUGUGAAAACGUGCCACGACAAUUACUCAGUCACUCUAGCGCGCAUACCAAUCCGGAAAGUCUUGCUCCCGAGUUGAAACCCUUACAAAUCCCAUGUCAAAAUGCAACUCCUAACUCAAUUUACACACGCAAAACCAAUCUAGGUGCCCUAUAAAUCCGGUUUGACUAGUUGUUCCCGAAGUCCUAACUCGCUCAUCCGAACUCCAAAUUGAACAUUAUAUAUAUGCAUCUUGAUCACCUCGAAUUUACAUUUGAUCAUCUCGAAUUUACAUUUUGAGCACUUUACCCAAACCGCUCUGACCGGUAGAACUACCAAUUUUAGUCCUCAACAAUUUUAAUGUCAUUGGAUCUGUACAUAGAGAGUAAUACAUUCUCUGUUGUCAAUCCAAUCUGGAAUUUGUGAAUUUUUUUUCCUUUCCAUAUGUACACUCAACUACCCAAUUCAGACAAAAUGAACUCGGAGAUUAAACUGUUCAGGCAUGACAAAAUUUCAAAUCACGUUGACUUUUGAUGUGCUGCAGAUAGCACGGGUACGUGCCCUUUGUAAUACUACCUACGGUCAGCAAAGCUGUAUUUUUCAGACAAGCAGAAUCAGCAGCAAACAAUUAGCCUUUUUCCCUGUCUGAAACGUCAACUUUUAUUGGCUGGGGGAGGCAGUAACAUCUGUUGAGCGAAUACCAAUUUUUACAUUCCAAAUUGGAUAAAGAAAUGUAUAACACCGUCACUGACACAAAUUAACGAUUAUUUUGCAGUCUACAAAAUUUUAUUUUGACAUGCAUCAUCGUGGUUGUACCAAAUGUAUUAUUAUGUAUAUUUUUCCUUCCAACUAGAAUGACGUCACCAAUAAUUUCAAUUGGAUAAAUUGGAAACAUCAUAAGAUAAAAUAAUCUAGUGUUCCGUGCAAGAGUUUGAUUGUAUAGAAACAAUGACCAUUUCCGUGUACAUGACUCAGUAUUCUUUUUGAGAAUACAUUUUUGUCCUCCAUCAAAUGUCGACCUCCUUCAGACACUGCAUUCAUUGAUUUUUAACCAAUCUAACUCAUAGACCUAAUUAAUGAAAGGUAUUCCCAAGCAUAUCAUUCUGACAGUGGUGUGUAUUCAGUAGACUCGGCGGCCAUGCCGGAGGCGGCGACGCGGCGGCGUUGGAGCUCCGCCGUGAUCCAGACCAACAAGCAGCUCGUAGAGCAUCUACGGCACACGCGUGACACAACUGGACUCUCAGACGACGUGCACAACUACCACAAUGUGUUGCUCACUGACAGCGGCCUUACGAAAACGGAGGCGGCGGACAGAGUCAGAGAAGACGGUGGCUUAGAGGCUCUGUAGUGGAUGAGGCUGGGCAAGAGCUAUAGUGGGGCUUGCAGAGGAUUUUAAGGUGAAGGUUUGGGCGGAGGGAAUCGGAGAGCGGUGGUCGACGGUGGCGUUCUUCACCAAUGACCGAGGAAGGCGGUAAAAAUGGAGCGGUGGCAGUGGAUGGAUAAAUCCAGCCACCGGGCUCGGUAUUUAUUCGAAAACUUACCAUCCAAGCUCACGCCACCCCUGCUUACGCCACCCCUGCUUGCAUGCACGAAGCUGUCCUCAUGGCUCACUGGCGCGUGGCACGGGUGAAACCACCUCGGCUCACCAGCGGCAAGCAGCUGUGUGGCAUCGCUACACUCCUCUGCUCCUUUCCAUUUCCUUCCAAUUCCACCCGAUUCAAUCUCAUAUUUUUCCGAUUUUCCAAUCCAAACUAAGCUAACUCCUUUAACCAAACUUGUAGAUGAAACAUCGAACAUAAACUAAUUGAUUUGCAUCCUAGCCGAUAGAUCAACCAGUCUCUCGAUUUGAAGUGCCAUUCAGUUUUCAAAAGCUCCUUGAUUCAGUUUUAUUAGCUAAGUUCCAAACAGUUUGAACUUACAAACUUUGAGGCCAAACCGGUCAAACCCUCUUGCACACCCCGCAGGCCUGACUCAUCCCCGAUUUUAAGGCCAAACCGGUCAAACCCUCUAGCAUGCCCCGCAAGCCGUGACUCACCGAUGUCAAUGCAUGUCCAGCCUCCGCCAAGCCUUUGAUGCCUCAAGUCUUUCACUCUCGGCUCCCGAGCCGCCUACUCGACUUGCCUCCUCGACCGAUGCCGUCUCCAUCACCGUUCGUGUACUUUUGCUCUUCCGUGCACCAUGUGGAUCGCCCAUGACUCCGCCCGGACUCCUCGGGUCCCUCAAUCCAAGCCUACUCAUGUCCACCCUUCAUAGCCCUAGUACAUCGGCAUGAACCUUUCGCUUGACCUUCACCUCAUGCCGUCGCAUCCUACACCUGCACAUCACAAGAUAAGAGACACAACACACAACAUAUGGUUUACAUAAACACCACAACACAACGCACACAACAUAACACAUCCGGUUAUCCGUUAGCAUAAUCAUGCACAUAUGAAAUCUGAACUCAACCGGUAAAGCCUCAAAUCAUCUAGUCAAUAAUUCAUCACAAAUAGACCAAGGCACAUCUUAACUUGGUCUCUCCGAUCUUUGAUAUGUAACUGCUACAUGUACAUUAUGCCUAUCAAUGCUUCAUGGUCUAUAUCAAUGCAAUGCUUUUGUUUAGAUAUGUGAGCACUUCAUAUGUUGUUAAUAGAGUUUGUGGUAAUCAUGGUGAUUAACUUAACUCUGCGGAUGCUUUGAUAUAUAUGCGUGAGCGAAGUUGUUGAGUAUCCCUAUGUAGUGACAAUAUACAGGAGGGAAAGAGCCGAGUGAGCACAUAAUCAUUGUUAUAGCUAGUGAAGGUAGCACCUAUUUGUGCAGUAGAUGUAUAUUCAUGUGAACCUAGGUCCUAGGGAUGGAACUCUUAUCUAUCUUUGUUUGCCAUCUUGUAUCAACCUUUGCUUCUUGUUUAGUUUAGAUUAGUUUUGUCUCUCUACACAACGCAUAUUACAUGGUUUUGUUGGUAAGAUUAGUAUAAAGUGAGAGUUAGCAAUCCAUUUGUUCCACGAAUUGAUAAAUCUUGGGGUAAUACUCUAAGGGAAGAGCUACAACUGUUAUGUGUGCGUGCGGUUCACCAAUUGAUGCACUAAUUGCCGUCAACAAUCUUUUCUAGUGUCGUUGCCGGGGAACAAGUCAGUUUGCUGUGUUUGAUCUUUGUAUUGAUUUUGCUAACGCGCUAAUACUUAACUUUUGUGCAGAAUAUUUUUGUUUUUAUUUUUCUUUUUACUGCCUAGAUGAAUCUAUUUGUCACACCAUUGGAAAAUGAAGAAAUGUCGCUAAGGGAAUUAGCAAUGCCAUCAUCAAAGGGUUUUGAGUUGCAAAAAUCAGAUUUGGAGCUUGCUACGACCCACUACGAGUUGAAUCAUGGAAUCAUAAAGUUGGUGGUGACAAACCCUUUUAGAGGAUUGGAGGAUGACAACCCAUAUAGGCACAUGGAGCGGUUCACGAUGAUAUGCAACAUGGUGCAUUAAGAAAGAGUUCUGGCUGCGUGGUUCAAGUGGAAUAUUUUUCCAUACUAUCUUGAAGGUGAAGCGUGAAGAUGGUACACACUUGCAUCUAUUGAAGUGAAGGAAAAAUGGGUCGAGCUCAUGAAGGAAUUCUGCAUAGAAUUUUUUCCCUUAAUCAAGAUCCAAUGUUUAAGGAGGCAAGUGAUUUGUUUCAAGCAAGGAGAGGAUGAAGGAAUUGGUGAAGCCUGGAACCGAUUCAAUGGACUACUCAAGCAAGGCCCAAACUUGGGAAUUUCUGGUGAAAUGAUGUUGCAUUCAUUUUAUUUUUCACUAACCUCUCACUCUACCUAGUAUGUAAGAGUGUGUGCAGGAGGUAAUUUCAUGGAGAAAACAACUAGAGAAGCUACACAUAUGUCACAAAGGAUAACCGAUGCAGAAGAGUGGAACGAGAAUGGCAAAAACUCUACCAAGAGGAGGAAAAUGACAAGAACUGCCUGGAGGCUUGAUGAAAUUUUUGAAAAAGAUGAACCAAGGCUCAAGAAAAAUGAACCGGUCACACUAAAAAUCAAAGAACCACUUUCUGAGGUAAGAGAAGUCGUUACGCAUAUUAAAACUAUUGAAACUAACAUGAAUGCAGGCCGUGGUUUUGAGAAUGCAAGACCAUUGGCGGAAUUCGAACAUCUUGAUUGGAUUUCAAUUGAUUUCGGCCAUUUAAAUAGCAACAUAUGACAUAAGAAACACCGAAGCGAAGCUAGAAAAAUUGAUGAUAUAUUUGAUCAAGAGAUGAGUAGGGAAUCAAUCCAGAAGCUGUUUGAAGAAGAAGAAUUGGAGUCACUAGUGAUAAAGACAAUGAAUAGAGGAGCUAAUGAGAUAGGAAUCACUCCCAACUUGAAGAAAACCGCAGAAAUAUUUCAAGAUCUCUUCUCUAAUAAUUCUAGUGAUAUGGCUGAAGUUUCAGAGGAUAUAUUUCAGGAAAUAAGAUCAUGCAAUGUGAAGGUUUAUAGCUUGUGUGCUAUUGAAGCUGGAACACCAGAGAAUUAGGAUAUGGCAGUUCUCAAAGAUGAAGAAAAUAGUGUGUUUGCAACAAAUGAUCUUGAUGACAUGAGGCACACGAAAUAUAAUGAAGGCAAUACAAAAUAAUUUGAAUAUGAACAUGUGGGUAAGAUCCCAAAUAAUGAAGACUUCGAAGAAGAGGUGCCUGCUAAUGUUGCUAAUGGACUGCAUGUUCCACAUGAUGGAGAGCUGGAGGAAUUGCAAGACAAUGAUGAACAACCACCUCCAAUUGUUGAUAUCAAUUUGCUUUCAACUCCAGUAAACGAACCAAAAAUCACUUGAUGAAAAAUCUCCAAGUUUAAGGUACACAUUAAAUUCUCAAGGUACUAUUGGUUUUGAUAAUGAUAUCUUGAAAUUCCUAUGUUCAACCAAUAGCAUGAAAGAUACAUUAAAUUCUAUGCCUUGCUGCUGAAGCCCAAAAGUGGCAGCAAUGCCGACCACGCUGGACUAGCCGGUCAUACCGGUCUCUAUGGGCGGUCUGACCGGUCUGGUCGCUGUAGCCGGUCUACCAUGUGACCACAAGUCCGACUCAUGAUCCUAACCGGUUAGACCAGUCACCCCGAGUUCAAGACGAAUUUUGGGGUCUUGGUCGAAUUGGAGUUAAAACAGGACUUCCUUGCGGGAAAAGACCUCCCACCCUAUAAAUUUAAAGGGCUCUGUCCAAUUGAGGGCAACCAACCCAAUCGAAAACACUUUCAUCUACUUUUUAUCUUCAAACCCUAGCUUUUCCACCCCCUUCUUUCCUCCUUUGUCUCGACAGCGGUUGAGGACAUUCGGAGGGGCCUGCUAAUCUCGGAGCAACCCUAAGUUCGCCAUGUUCGACGGGGUCCCUCCCAAGGUGGUGGACGUAGGUUUUUGCAUUGCCCCUAUGCUGGACCGGCCUGACUGACCUGCCUGGCUGGUCUGACCGGCCAGGAGCAGGAGCUCUGACGAGAUGACAUCCUGAUCUACGCGCGAGCUAGCACACUCAUGUGUUGGCCAGAAAAAGCGCUGACACAUUUUGGCGACUCCGCUGGGGAAGAAAGAUCUAGUUUUCACAGUCUUAUAGCUCCGACUGCCCCUGGGUUUCCACAAUUCUGAUGAGCUAUCCCAUGUCCACCUAGUAGGAAAAUCACAAUACGAUAAUUCAUGAGCAUUAGGACAUUUACUAUUUCCUACAAACCAUUCAGUCAACAUGGUCUUUUGCAAAAAAGGAGUAGCAAACAAAGAUACAAAGUUAGCUCUAGUGGCAUAUGGCACCAAAUUCAUGCUAGGUAAAUGAACUGCCAAUCUCUCAACAGAUGGAAUCUUGUGGUGCAGUUCAAAACCAAAAAUACGCCAAUAUGCUUCCUUAUUGCAUAUAUAUCAACAUUGGAUAUUGAGGGAUAUGGGUACCCUAUGGGUCCCCACCGACAAGGAUAAUAGCUGGUCUUGACAAGUGAUCCCGCUCGACCAGAGCGUCCAAGCCAAGGACUUGAUGAUACUUGGAGCACAAGACAAGGAGGUUGGGUGAUUCAAAUUAUCUAGGAUAUUGUGAGAUAUCUAUUGUAAUCCGACUCUGAUCACCUUCCAUGUAACAACCGAGUAGAUUAGAUUCAAACUGACUUGUAACCCUCGGGUAACCUCCCUGGUGGACUGCUAGGCUACUAAAUCCGACAGUUGGUGUGCCAAGUAGGGGUGAUUGUGAGAUCCACCCCAACGAGCUCGAUGGCAUCCCACCCCGGCGUCAUCUUCCCCGAAAGCAUGAAGGACUUCCUCACCACCGGAUCCAUCUCCGCUUCGGAGCAUGACGGUGGACUCUAACUCCGCUGCCUCCUCCACCGACUCAGCGUCCGCCGCUAGCUCAGCAUCCAUCCGAUCUAUUUCGACGGAGCGAAACCUCCACCCAAGAAUCAUCAUGCCACUUGCCUAGCAGGUCGAUGAUCUCUCCCUCUUAGAGAGGGUCCUGCACAUCCUUGCUACAACCCACCGACCCAUGCCCUCCAUGUCGGGCAUACUCCCCAGGCCCGCGAGUAGGCCUUGGACGGCCCACUAAGGGACGUACUCAGACAAGAUCAGAACAAGGAUAGGCGUAUUCUUCUCGGACUAGUCUUGUAUGUUUAUGGAAAACUACUCGGGCCAAUACCGAGUAGAACUCUGUAAUAGUACCCGACUAGGACUUAGACUUGUAACCUUGCCCUCCUGGGUAUAUAAGGCCGAGCAGGGACCCCCCUCAGAACAACUCCUAUUCAUCAAUCUCCAAGAUCAAUACAAACCAACAGGGACCCCCCUCAGAACAACUCCUAUUCAUCAAUCCCCAAGAUCAAUACAAACAAACACACAGGACGUAGGGUAUUACGCGAUCUAGCGGCCCGAACCUGUCUAAAUCGUGUUCCUUGCAUCACCAUUGAUUCCUUGAUUCUCGACGACCCUUACUGCAUAAAAGACCACCUAGGGUACCCCUAGGCGGGUUGCCGAUCUAAAACACCGACAGCUGGUGCGCCAGGUAGGGGAGCUCGUCGAGUUUCUCAGCACGAACUCAAUGGCGAAAGUCAUCAUCAGGCCCGUCUUCUUCAUUGAAGCCGGCGCCACCUUCGUUUUUGGAUACUGGUUCUGCGUCGCCGAAGGCUCGGGAUCGUUCCGGUGCCAGAUCGUCAACACUCAGGAGAAGAAACCAGAAAACCUGACUAGAAAAAAUCAAGAUUUCAAAGUCAACGAGUUCGAGUUCGACUACGCGUCGGAUCCGACUUCCCCUCGGACUACUCCGUUUCCCCGCUCAGGGGUCGAGCGUAGCCGACCCCAGGACUCAGGGUUGGGCGAAGCGGAGCCUCACUUGGGGUCGGGUGAGGCGGAGCUACCCUUCCAAAGGGUCGGGCUCCGCCGACCCCAGGACUCAGGGUCGUGCGAAGCGGAGCCUCACUCGGGGUCGGGCGAGGCGGAGCUAAUGUUCCAAAGGGUCGGGCUCCGCCGACCCCAGGACUCGGGGUCGGGCGAGGUGGAGUCUCGCUCAAGGGUCAGGCUCUCCCGACCCUAGGACUCGGGGUCGGGCGAGGCGGAGUCUCGCUCAGGGGUCAGGCUCUCCCGACCCCAGGACUCGGGGUCGGGCGAGGUGGAACUACUCCUCCAAAGGGUCCGGCACUCCCGACCCCAGGACUCGGGGUCGGGCGAGGCGGAAUUCCACUCAGGGUCGGGCGAGGCGGAGCUACUCCUCCAAAGGGUCGGGCUCAGCCGAUCCCUGGACUCAGGGUCGGACUCGCCUCGGAUUCGACGGCCCCAGUCAGCAUCCAAAUCGGUUUCAACUUCAAUGCAGUUCCCACACGGACUCCGCAACGCAACUAAAGUCCACCAAAGUUUUCUUGCUCAAACCAAAGUCGACCUCGGGCAUGAAGACGUUGGCUCCGACUCAUCCUACUCACCAGAGAUAUCAUUAUCUGGUCCAGCCCAAGGGUUGGUAAUAACUUCAACAUCUCAAGGCAGAUUCGUCCACUGGCUGGGAUUGCGACCAUCUCUUCUCUACCGUAACUACGACUCACGCCUUGUCGCCCAUAUAGACAUCCUACCAUUUUAGGAAGGUGUUCCACUCACUUCCAACCGCGAAGAAAGUUACACCAAAAUUGCAACAUCAAGCUCCGGAAGCUACUACCCGGACAGGGAGGUACUUGUUAUUACUCGGAAUAACAUCCUGGGUACUAGCCAGAAUAGAACCCCCAGGCGAUUAGCACAAGUCGACUACAUCUCUGAAGAUGAGUCUACAGUUGACGCCCCUCACAAUGAAACUUCCGAACAGCGCAACCAACGAGGGGCGCGCAGUGCCACUCAAGCUGAGCGACGACAGUCGAUGGCUACAAAUAUUCCUAUUACAAAUCUUGAACGGGCUUUCAACGCAGUCCAGUAGCACAAUACCCCACUCGCGGCUAUCGCUUCAAUCAAACUUUUAACGACAUUGAUGCCUCAAGAUAAGGAUAACGUAGCCACAGCUCAACUCGUGCAGCGUGGCAACGGACUAAUCGCACAACUCGCGGAGCAAGCUUACAAGCUACUCAACAAAGAAUCACCAAUCCCGUCCGUUCCUAGCAUUACAUAGCAUCAAGACGAAAGCAGGGGGGAUGCAGAUAAAAAUGCCGCCCCAUGAAACGAUGAUGCAGUCAACCAACCCCGGCAACACAGCCAAGGUCCAAGCAAGCAUAAAGCUCCUACUCGACAGAAGGAUGUGGGUGAAGUCAGCUGCACCAACUCGGUUAAAAGUAUUCGCCCUACUCGGAAGGUCCGCGAGAUGUCCAACUUCAACGAUCUACGAGAAAUCCUCAACAAUCGGCGUGAACGAGAAGUCAACAGCUACAACCACUUUCCUACUUUCACAAACCGGGUAAUGAAAACAAAAUUACCCGAAAAGUUCAAACCAACCAGCAUUACCAAGUACAACGGCAAGCAAGACCUAGUUCAAUGGCUACGCUAUUACUCGCUAGCCGUCCAAGCAGCCGGGGGUAACAACGACACCAAAGUCAUUCAUUUCCCCAUAUGCAUGGAACCCGCACCACUGACCUGGCUCGAGUCACUCAAACCCAAGUCCAUUGACUCUUGGGCAGACUUAACAAAGGCUUUUACCAGCAACUUUGCCGGCUCCAUGGCUAGACCAGGCAACAAAAUCGACUUAAGACAAAUUAAGCAGAAAGAGGGCGAGACCCUGCGCAACUAUCUGCGAUGGUUCUUCGAAAAGAAGGCUACUAUAGUGGACAUCUCCGAAGCAGACGUCAUUGAGUGCUUCCAAAACGGACUCUAUGAUCGACGAACAUACCAAGACUUCGAUCGCCGAUGACCAGCCGGUGUCAAAGAACUCAAACUCAUGGUGCAACAGUGGGCCGAUGAAGAAGACAAAGAACGAGAACGGUUCGGUUCCCACUGUAACCGCGGACGCGACAACAUCCACAACAAUGAGACAGAUAAAACUUGGCAUAACGAUGCUCGGAACUCCUAUCCGGGUAACCACAAUCGCAAAAGAAAACCCGACAACACCGUUGCUGCCAUGAACAGCUCCGGAAAAAAGGGACAUCGCAGAAACGACGAAGGACCAACCUUCACGGAGCUACUCAAAAAGCAGUGCCCAUGGCACCCGACUAGCAAGCACUCCGCAAUAGACUGUUACAGCAUGCGCCGAGUCAUGCAAGACUUACCCGUACCACCAACUCCUGAAGAGUACGCCAAAAACAGAGAUACGGGUAAAAACAAAGCCCGCAACGAUGAAGAUGAGGACGGCGAUUUCCAACCAGCUUCAAAAACUGUCAACGUCAUUUUUUGCGGCAUUCCUGGCACUGCAUCCAAGCGAGCUAACAAACUCGUACUUAGGGAGAUCAUGGCCAUCGAGCCGACGGACCCCACACCGCUAAAGUGGUCGGAAGUUCCAAUUUGUUUCAGCAGAAAAGAUCAAUGGACAAAAUUUUCAGAACCAGGCCAUUUUCCACUAGUCCUGGAUCCAGUUGUGGCAGGUUCAAAGUAAACCAAAGUACUCAUCGACGGCGUGAGCGGCCUCAACAUUAUUUUCACCAUAACAUUAAGGAAAAUGUGCCUCGACGUCACUGAAAUGCUUACCCCAACGGAUUUACCUUUCUAUGGCAUUGUGCCCGGAAAUGGGACCAUACCACUGGGACAAGUUGUCGUUCCAGUCACCUUCGGAACUAAGGAAUAUUACCGCACCAAGUACAUCAGAUUCGAGGUCGCCAACUUCGAGACAUCUUAUCACGCCAUACUUGGACGGCCAGCACUAGCCAAGUUUAUGGCCAUACCACAUUAUGUCUACUUGGUACUCAAAAUGCCAGGUCCCAAAGGAGAGCUCACGCUACGAGGAGAUCUCCGGAGAUCCUACAAAUGCGACAUCGAAGCUGUGGAAAUUGUUGCGACUACUCAAUCUCCUAGUCCCAUGCAGCAAAUCUUCACAGCCUCAAAAAAGCUUCAUCCAACUGAACUUGAGAUCCCGGAAACCAAGUUGGGAUCCACGAAAGUGAAACCUGCCAGUGAGCAAGACUUCAAGUCAGUCAACCUCCAGACCGGUGAUCCUUCCAAGACAGCCCUGAUCGAAACAGGGCUAGAUCCUAAAUAGGAAUUCACGCUCGUCAGUUUCCUUCGGGCAAACCAUGAUAUCUUCGCUUGGAAGCCGGCUGACAUGCCAGGUGUGCCCAAGGAACUGAUCGAGCAUUCCCUCAACGUCGAUCCCAAAGCUACUCCAAAACGGCAACGACUACGCCGGUUCGCUCAGGACAGACGAGAAGCAAUCAACAAGAGUUAGCCAAGCUACUCGCGAUAGGAUUCAUCAAGGAAGUCUUCCAUCCUGACUGGCUUGCCAAUCCUGUGCUCAUUCGUAAGAAAAACAACGAAUGGAGAAUGUGUGUCGACUACACCGUCCUCAACAAACACUGCCCGAAAGAUCCUUUUGGGCUACCCAGGAUUGAUCAAGUGGUUGACUCCACCGCCGGGUGUGUCUUGCUAUGCUUCCUUGAUUGCUACUCCGGCUAUCAUCAGAGAAGCCUCAAAGAGGAAGAUCAAGCCAAAACAGCGUUCAUCACGCCCUUUGGAGCUUUCUGCUACAAAACAAUGUCCUUCGGACUAAAGAACGCAGGAGCGACUUAUCAAAGGGCCAUACAGAUGUGCUUUGAAAAAUAACUUCAUUGCAAUGUCGAAGCUUAUGUCGACAAUGUCGUCGUCAAAACAAGGAACCGAGAGGAACUCAUUGCUGACUUGGAGGAAACUUUCUCCAGUCUCUAUGCUUUCCGAUGGAAACUCAAUCCUACUAAGUGUGUCUUUGGAGUACCUUCCGGCAAACUACUCGGAUUCAUCAUUAGCCAUCGCGACAUUGAGGCCAACCCAGAGAAGAUAUCUGCCAUCACAAACAUGCAGGCACCAGCCAGCAUUAAAGAUGUGCAGAAACUCACAGGCUGCAUGGCCGCUCUCAACCGGUCCAUCUCGAGACUUGGUGAACGGGGACUACCCUUCUUCAAGCUUCUCAAAUGCUAGGACAAGUUCAAAUGGACAGACGAGGCAGAUAAGGUAUUAACACAACUCAAAGACUUUCUGUCAAAGCCUCCUGUACUCACCGUUCCCUCGCCGAACGAAGACUUGCUCCUAUACAUCUCCGCUACUACUCAUGUCGUCAGCACGGCAAUAGUAGUCGAACGGUCUGAACCGGGCCACGCUUACAAGGUCCAACGACCUGUCUACUUUGUCAGCGAAGUACUCUCAGACUCCAAAACUCGGUAUUCACUGAUACAAAAGCUAUUAUACGCUAUUCUGCUCACCUCUCGGAAGUUGCGCCAUUAUUUCCAAGAGCACAACAUCACAGUCAUCUCCGACUUCCCGCUCUGCGAAAUUCUCCAUAACAGAGAUGCCACGGGUAGAAUCUUCAAAUGGGCAGUUGAAAUCGGUGCUCUCACUUUGAACUUCAAGCCAAGGACAGCCAUCAAGUCUCAGGCUUUGGUCAAGUUCAUAGCUGAGUGGACCGAAAAUCAAGUUCCAACUCCAGUCGAACGACCAGAACAUUGGGUAAUGUACUUCGACGGAUCCCUCAAACUUGAAGGAGCCAGCGCAGGCAUCUUACUCAUCUCCCCCAAGGGAGACCAACUCAAGUACGUGCUGCAGAUGUUCUGGGAAGCAUCUAAUAAAGAAGCCGAGUACGAAGCACUGCUACACGGCCUUCGCCUCGCAAUCUCCCUUGGCAUCAAACGACUACUGGUGUACGGUGACUCCCUCAUCGUCAUAAACCAAGUCAAUGACGAGUGGGACCGAAACAAGGACAACAUGGAUGCUUAUUGCAAAGAAGUCCAUAAACUGGAAAACAAAUUCUCCGGCUUGGAGUUCCAUCACAUCGUCCGUGACAAUAAUGUUGCCGCCGACGUUUUAUCCAAAAUGGGCUCAACUCGUGCAGAAGUUCCAGCAGGAAUUUUCAUACAUGAACUACGCAAGCCAUCCAUACCUGAACAGGUCACCCUGCCAGUAGUCCCGACUACUGACGUCUCCCAAGAAAUCAUGAUGAUAGAGGUCGAUUGGAGGACACCCUUCAUCGACUACAUCAAAGAUCACCAGCUACCAUCCGACAGGAAUAAAGCUGAGUAAAUCUCCCGACGCGUAAAGAAUUACGUUCUAGUCGGAGACAAGCUCUACAGGAAAGGUGCAUCAUCUGGAGUACUCAUGAAGUGCAUCACCAGAGAAGAUGGCCAAGAAAUCCUAGAAGAGAUUCACAGAGGAAUCUGUGACAACCACGCAUCUUCAAGGACACUAGUUGGCAAGGCUUUCAGAGCAGGCUUCUACUGGCCAAUGGCUUUGGCCGACGCUAAACAACUGGUUCAGAAAUGCAAAGUUUGUCAAUUCUUCACAAAACAGCAAUACGUGCCGGCCUACAAGCUAGUCACAAUACCUCCAACAUGGCCAUUUGCCUGCUGGGGGCUCGACAUGAUUGGCCCAUUACCAACUGCGCUAGGAGGAUUCAACAGAGUACUCAUGGCAAUCAACAAGUUCACCAAAUGGAUCGAGGUCAAACCGGUCACUUGCCCCAAGGCAGACCAAGUCCUCGACUUCUUGGAUGAAAUCGUACACCGCUAUGGUUUUCCCAACAGGAUUAUCACAGAUCUUGGGUCAAACUUCAAUAAUCACGACUUUUGCGAAUAUUGCGAGAACAGCGGCAUCGACGUCCGCUAUGUCUCGGUUGCUCAUCCACGAGCCAACGGUCAAGUCGAGCGUGCUAAUGGCAUGAUACUCGAUGCUCUGAAGAAACAACUACAUGACGUCGGCAACACCAAAGGCGGCUGAUGGCUCAAAGAGUUACCCAAUGCCUUGUGGGGCCUACGUACCCAACCAUGCAAGACUACGGGACUAUCACCCUAUUUUCUAGUAUAUGGCCCGGAAGCCAUAUUACCCGCCGAUAUAAUGUGGCAAUCACCAUCCGUUGAGCACUACGAUGAAGAACUUGCAAUAGAAACGCGGCGAACGGAUAUAGAAAGUUUGGAAGAAACAAGAUGCGCAGCACUAGUGCAAUCUGCCAGAUACCUUGACGGUUUAAGGCAUUAUCACGACCGCAACGUCAAGGAAAGAUCUUUCAACUCGGGCGAUAUGGUCCUUAAAUGUAUUCAAGACACGUCAAGAUUACAUAAACUCAAUUCACCAUGGGAAGGUCCUUACAUCGUAUCAAAGGUUACAGGACCUGGAUCUUACAGGCUCUAGGAGCUCUCAGGAGAACAAGUGCCAAAUUCUUGGAAUAUCGAACAUCUCUAUCGCUACUACCCAUAGCAGCACCCGAGUAGUCGCUUCAAGGCCGUUACUCAGGCCAACUGCCCGACUACUAACUUCAAGAUAGCUUCAACAUGAGUUCUCUACCACAAGGAUCAUCGCCCCGGUACAAAUCUCUUCGUAUUAAUCUCUACUGAAACAAGAGUACAUCAUGUUACAUACGAGUACAAGGACUCAACUUACACGAAGACUACAAGCAACUGCCUACUAGCGGGCUGCAUUUAAGCCUCAGGCUUUUACUAUAUCACAAGGCCACUCAGGUCUACCGACCGCAGGAAGGGCCCACAUGCAAGGAAGCUACGCAAAACGCAGCCACGCCCAGGUACCCUACCCAAGGCAAUGCCAAGUACUCCGUCACAGCCACCGCCUUGACAGCAGCAACGCCAAAUCUGCCAAGACGCGCCAGGGAACCAAGGCUGCUCUUUUGCUAGCCUUGCAGAGCCAAUCUACUCUACGACCGCACCUCCACCUCUUUCAGAGCGGGAUAAAAACCGCGGCGCUCAUCACCCAUCACUCGCGAGUUCCAGCGCGUACUCCACUGGAUCACAAGCUGCAAGAUGAGGCGUGCGAUGAAACAUCCUACAAGGACUCUUCUAGCAUCGUGGCUAUCCCUAUGAGCGCAGGAGUCUGUGGAGCGAAGGUGGCCUCAAUCUACGAGGAAUCUUCUAGCACCAGUGCACUCUUUGAUGGCUCUCUACACUCAAACAGAAGCAAUCGAAGACAGUCCAUCGCUACUCAGGAACUUGAGUUGGUUCGCCCACUAGAUGGCCCUAUUUAUAGCUGAAAGCCACAACUACCACCGGCUCAAGAGUUACUGUGCACCCGUGAUCAAUAAGUCUGACAACUCCUGACUCUGCCCAUGUGACCGCACUUACGCCACAACAAACAAAAGAAUGCAGUACACCCGUGCAUCCAUGAAGGACAAAGGAGUACAAUAUACCUGUCCCUCAAAAGACGAGUACUCAAAUAGCAUUACGUCUACUCUACACUCGGGACUACUACAAGCCAAGCACGGCCGACAUGUCGGGGGCAUCGACUACUCCAAACUCAAGGUCGGGCGAGGCGGAGUUUUCACCCUCGACGAGGUCAGGCUUAGCCGACCCCAAAACUCAAGGUCGGGCGAGGCGGAGUUUUUACCCUCGAUGAGGUUAGGCUUAGCCGACCCCAAAACUCAAGGUCGGGCGAGGCGGAGUUUUCACCCUCGAAGGGGUCAGGCUUAGCCGACCCCAAAACUCAAGGUCGAGCGAGACGAAUCCCCUCCCUAGAGGGUUGGGCACAACAGAGUUGCAAUACUUCGGGAUUCGACAAAAUAGAGUAAAAACUACUCUUCGCAAGACAACGACACAACAAAUUCAAAGGCUUGGCAUUUCAAAACAUCAAUGUACUCGAAUACAAGAGUACACAAACAGCUCAAACUCUUCUAAGGAGACAAACUCCAACAUCUUGGAUGCAAUAGGCUCCGCCUCCUCGAGGUACUGCGCAUAAGCCUCCUCUGUGCAGUUGCGAGCCACGCCAUCACCAGCUGCCACCAAGUCUGCCCUCGGGUAGUAGGACUUCACAACCGCAAGAACCUGUUUGCAAACAGUCUUGCAAAGUCCCGCCACUUUACUCGGGGCAGCUCUUAGUCGCUCUACUAGCGAUUGGAGCAUAUACGUUGUACUCCCUGGUGUCUUUCAUGAGCUUACUAGAGAUCACCCAAGUCUCAUAGACUGCAAUGUUUAACAGCCUCAUAGACUACAACGUUUAACAGCCAAACUUAUAUAGGUGUGUCCUUUCAAGAAUGCUCUAUAAGACAACAUCGUCGCUUAUUAAAGCUAAUAAGAUCACAUUAAGGCAUAUAGCCAACCUUCCUUACAGCAUAACUGCCUCACAACAUUUGAGAGUAUUGCAUCUUCACAUAGAGAGUUAACAAAAAACUUGUUUUUCCCAGAUCCUAAUUCAUGGGAUCUCCGAUCACAUAGGUUGGGUUGCCACUAUGGCAACUCAAACAGGUCUCAUACCCAUCUCACUCGAUGCACUUUCUAUCACAUUGCAUGAUAGCGCUUUUGUAAAGGGAUCUGCCAAAUUUUUAUCUAUUUGAAUAUAAGUCACACUUAUUACUCCAGAGUUUCUCAAUUUCGUGAUAGAUUUCAGUCGUCUCUUGACAUGUCUAAAUGACUUCGCAUUAUCCUUAGCACAAUUUACUUUGACUAUCACAGUUUGUCGAUGUUUUAGACCGGCAACCCACCUAGGGAGUACCCUAGGUGGUCUUUUGUGUGGUGGGUGUCGUCAAGAAUCAAGGAGUCAAUGGUGACGCAAAGAACAUGAUUUAGACAGGUUCGGGCUGCUAGAUCGCGUAACACCCUACGUCCUGUGUGUUGAUUGUAUUGAACUUCUUAGCUCCUAUUUUGAGAGGGUCCCUGCCCAUCCUUAUAUAGUCGGGGGAGUAGGGUUACAGGGUGGAGUCCUAGUCGAGUACGAUUACUGAGUCCUACUCCGACUGGGCAUAGUAAUUUCCUUAUGCACUAUGACUAGUCUUCGGGAGUUCAAUAGGCUUACAUUACCAUGUGACGUAGCCUCCAAGUCCUGAUCACGUCCGAGUACGCCCCUGAGUGGGCUGUACAAGAAAGGUGGGGAAGAAAUCGGAGAAAUUCUAGGGGGCGCGGUGACCAGUAAGGUGAGAUAUAAAUCCAAGAAAGGUAAAGAGCUCGCGCUGCUGGCGCCAAAGUGUGGUCCAACAAACCAGACUGCACCGCCGCUGCCUGGGAUCACCUGGCAGCACUCUGUGAUGAGGAAACUAGUAGUCCAGGCUUUGGUCGAUGCUAAGCUUCUUCAACCAAAGCUUGAACUCGAGUGGAGGCCUGCUUUUGGGAAUACGUGGCAGUUUGAGAAGCAUCCGAAGGAGACAGUCAUGAUUGCACAUUUCGUCAAGAGAGGACUAACAGUGCCCACCUCCAACUUCUUUAGAGGUAUUCUCAGGUACUACAAUCUUCAGUUAGUUCACUUGAAUCUCAAUGGUGUGCUCCAUAUGGCUAUCUUUGUACACUUGUAUGAGGUGUACCUAGGUGUUUCUCCUAGUCUUGAUCUCUUUAGAAAGUUAUUUUGCUAUAAGCCGCAGCCGAGUGCAACUAGGAUAGAGGUGUUUGGAGCGGUUGGGUUCCAGCUGAGGAACUCGAGUUCUUAUCUCGAGUAUGUCUUGCCUGACUCUCAUGGCAACUGGAAGAAAAGAUGGUUUUAUGUUGGGAAUCAUGAUCCUAUCUUGCUAGUGGUCACUGGUCAUGCUCCGAAGUAUGCGGAUAAUUGGAUGAGCGAACCUGAGGACACCCCUGAAAUUGCUAACUUACUAACUCAGAUUAGUGAGUUGAAAUCGUUAGGCUUCAUUGGCAUCAAUGUGGCUGCUAGUUUUCUCAAGCGAAGGGUUCAACCUUUGCAACAACGAGCUCGCUUAGGCUCUGAGUACUCGGGUUUUGAUGACCCAUUGUGGAUGUCCCCUAAUGACAUAUCUGAUGAUGAUGUUGAGGUGUUGUUAGGGAAGUUAUUCAAGAAUUAUCAAGGGGUACCAGUACUUCCAGAAGUUCUUCGCUAGUUUGAUAGUCGGUAUGGGCCAACAGAGAUAUGCUCCUUUGCUUGAAUUGUGUAGUCGAGGCAUGGUAACGCUUUUUCGAGUAACAAUUGUUGGGUUCCAGUCCCGGGUGCUUUUUGGCUUCUUGCCGCAGCCUGAGGGUAGGAAGAUUGCUAUGGUUGACAGUGACAAUGAUUCUCCUCUACCUGCCAAGAAGCGGUGAGUAGUUCUAAAGAAAGUUACUGUUCAGCUUACUUCUUCAUCAAGUUUGACCCCUAGGGGGUCAAAGAGUGCCAAGGUACAUAGUCGUGAGUAUUUUUUGGAAAAUUAUUCUUUGCAGAAUGCUGAUGAUAUCAGUCGUUUUGUGAAGGCCAACGACUUGACCAUGGGCGGUGAUGAGGCUACUUCUGGUGAAGUAGCUGCAAUUGCCAAGGACGCAGUUGUUAAUGUUGCGGGUAUUGAAGAGCUGCCUGUGGGGGUGCCGCUUUUGAACUCAGAGACAGCAGCCUCCGAGCAGGGAGCAUCGGCAUCUGCAGCCCCCGAGUUGGUAGCCCCCGAGAAGGUUACCGAGGUUACGUCUUCUGAGGUGGCAGAUGUCGUGAAGACACCGGUGGUUGCUACUGGUGCCUUGUUGUCCGAUGUUAUCGCCAGUGGUGAGUACUCUUGUUUAUUUUUAAUAGUUUUGCGUACAUAGUCUCAUCCUUGGGUUUUUUUUUCGCAGCACUCGGCGAAGGAGUAGAGGUCGUUCCUCCCAUGGCCCCUACGGUGUCGAGUACUCAGCCGGCAGUUACUGAGAAGAAACGUGUGCGAUUGCCGCCGCGAUCAUCCCGGUGAGUUUUUAUGUGAUCUUUUUUUAUUGUAUUUUUAAACUUUAAAAAAUAGGUGAUGACCUUGUGUUUUGACCCAGGGAUGCUGAGGAUACCAUUCCCGCGAAGAUAGGAGUGGAGUCUAGCCUUCCGACUAUACUCUCUGGUCCCUUAGUCGAUUUGUCAAUGGACGACGCACCUGAGGUUGAAGACACGAAUCACCUUGGUGCUACUAUCUCCAUGUUGCAAGAAGUUAUCCGCUCAGUGGAGGGCCCAACAGUUCCCUCGAAUUCUGGGGGUGUGCCGUCUUCAAUGACUAUUGGUGGCACCUUGGCUUUAGUUGAUGCGAUUAAAGUGGGUGAAGUCGGUGCACCGGGUAUGUUGUUGGAGUAUAGAUGCUUUGAAGGGGAUUUCUUUUGUAUCCUAUAAUGACCCAUGAGUUUUUUGUUGUCAGGGGCUGUUGUAGGUAAAAGUUUGGAGCCUCAAAUUGCUAAGAAUACUGAGGGUCCGGUACUUGAGCUGCUAGCGGAAUCAGUGUUUCGAAGGGCUAUCCAGAGCUUUUAGGAGUGUGAACUAUUUUUACUUCUGACUAAUUGUGUUUUGACAAGUCUUGACGACUUAUUUUGAGUUGCUUGCAGGACCUGUAUGAUAGAGCCCAGAGAAAUACUCGAGCCCUGUAGGAGUGUAAUGACACCAUGCAGUGGUUGACGCAACUGGAGCAAGAAUGUAGCCUACUUACAGAGUCCUUGAGAGUUCAUGAGGAGGCUGCAAAGUCCUUUCCAGUAGAGUGGAAUGACCAUGAAGUCCUUCAAGAGCGAUUGGAGAAUCGCUACAAAUCUUUGAACAAGUAAUAUCAGGGUGAGUACUCAUAAUCUUUUGAGUAUGUCUAAUUAUAGAGGUAGGUUCUGAUUUGUGAUGCUUGGCGCAGAGCUCAAGAGAAAAGAGGCUGCUGCGAGUAGUCAGCUUCUUGAUUGGAGGAACGCUCCUGACCGGGUAGCUGAUGAGGCUGCCCAUCUCUGGGCGUCGCUGGGUGAGGCUCAGGCUGCAUAUGAGCAUGAGAGGAAUAGGAAGAAUCAAAAUGGAGUUAUGCUUGCUAUGGCAAUGGUGGCAUGUAGGGACCAUGGUAAGACCAUAGAGAGACUGCAAGGCGAGCUUCAAGAGUUGACCAGUGCUGCACAGGAUGUAGUGAAUGCCAUCGCUCUGCUUGAAGAUGAUGCUGGGUCGCACUCACUAGUUGAGAGACUGAGAGCUACUCCGGGUAAAGUUGUUGGGCUUUGUAAGGCUGUCUGCAAACAAGUCUUUGCAGUGGCCAAGUCAUAUUACCCGAGGGCAGAUUUAACGGCGGCUGGUGAUGGUGUUGCUCGGAACUGCACAGAGGAUGCCUAUGUGCAGUAUCUUGAGGAGGCUGAGCCGAUUGCUUUGAAGAUGUCCAAAUUUGUAUCUUUAGAAGAGCCUUAGUCUUGUUGAUCUCGAGUUGUAAUCUGUCGAGUACUCAUCGGAGUACUCAAACAAUUCUCUAAAUUUUAUUGAAAUCUUAAUUGUGAUCGACGGUCUCUCAUCUAACUGAUCUUUGUAGUCGGGAAGAACAAGUCCAAGUAAUUAAGUAGUCGUAGCAUCUUUUGUGGGCUCCAAUUAUUGGUGUUACUAUUGAGAGUAUUAUGACCAUUAUUGCUUUGUACUUUGAGAGGAUGCACGGGCGAACUGUUCACUUUUGUCCGUUAUGAUUGAGUGCCUUCACGUGAGUGGAGUCAUAAAGGUGCUUGUCUGACCCGUGUCACUGCUUCAGGCUGAUCAUCACGAGCGAGCAGUAAUUUCUGAGUAGUUGGCGGUUGUGGCUUCUGGCUAUAAAUAGGUCCCUGGGUACUCGACCAAGGUCAUGCCCUUCAGUAUAGCGAUGGCUUGCUUCAGAUUGUUGUUGUUUGAUAGUAGAGAGCUUCCAAUGAGCGCCCCGGUGCUAGAAGAUUCCCUCCACAGACUCUAGCGCUCGUAGGGAUAGCCGCGAUGCUAGAAGAAUCCUCAUAGGAGUGUUUGUUGCGUGCCUCAUCUUGCAGUUCAUGAUCCAGCUGAGUUCGUGCUGGAACUCGCGAGUGAUGUGUGAUGAGUGUCAGGAUUUUUAUUCAGCUCUUUGAUCAGACGUGGAGGUGUGGCAUGCAGUGUGGAUCUGUGGACUGAAGCUAUCAAGGGAGCAGCUCGGGUAGUGCGCUCCAUCAUCUUGGUAUUUUUCUCCCUUACGCUGCAUCGGGGAUUCAUCAUUGCCACUAUCGAGGGAGCGGUCUGAAGAAGUUCCUGGGGUUGUCAGGAAAGAGGACAAGGAUAUGGUUGUGUAUUGCGUAGCUUCCUUGUGUGCAGGUGCUGCCUUUUAACACUGCUUGCACCUUGGUGAUCUAGUAGUCGCUAGGCCUGUGUAUCCUUAUGAUAUGGUAAAAGCCUAGGACUUUUGUGUAGACUACCAGUAGGCAGUUGCUUGUAGUCAUUGUUGUGUCAUUGUGUUGUAUUUUGUAUACCCCUCAUUUCAUUGGGUAAUCAGCUGUAACUGCAGAUUUUUGAAUGCGAAGGAUGCGAUUUAAGGUUGAAUACUUGUGUGAUAACUAGAAGUCUUAUGCUUUGAGUAAAAUGAUGUAGUCGUGGCUUUGUGAAGCUGCUUUAGUCUUGUGGAGAUGAGUUUAAAAAUUUGAACUGGAGCUUCAGUAGCUAUGGGCAGCUGACGAGUUGUGGUAACUCGGAGAUACUUGAUGAAGCUAAGUCGAGAGCAGAGAGCGAAGCACGAGCUCCCAGAGAUGGAGAGCUCAAGUGGAUGUGAAUAGCUGACGAGUUGUGAUAACUCGAAGAGACUUGAUGAAAUCAAGUCAAAUGGAGAACGGAGCACUGGAGCUCGCAGAGCUAGAGAGCUCGAGUGGCUGUGAAUAGCCAUCAAGUUGUAAUAACUCGGAGAGACAUAUGGAAUCAAGUCAAAUGGAGAGCGGAGCACUGGGGCUCGCAAAGCUGGAGAGCUCGAAUGGCUAUGAAUAGCCAAAUAGAGGCAGUGUGUGCUGAUGGACUUGUUUGAAAUAGACUGGGGGUCAAGACCCGAGUACAUGUCCUGUAGUCUGCUAUGGGUAGUAGCGGCACAGAUGUUUUAUAUUCCAGGAGUUUGGUAUUUCUUCGCCUGAGAGUUCUUGUAGUCGGUACGAUCCGGGUCCUGUGACCUUGGAUAUGACGUAGGGGCCUUCCCAUGGUUAGUUGAGUUUGUGCAGCCCCGAUAUAUCUUGGAUGCAUUUAAGGACCAUGCUGCCUAUAUUCAAGGAACGCUCUUUGACAUUGCGGUCAUGAUAGCGUCGUAGUCCGUCAAGGUUUCUGGCUGAUUGAACCAGUGCUGCACACCUAGCUUCUUCUAGACUAUUGAGGUCCAGGUGUCUUGUUUCCUCUGAUAUUCCUUCAUCAUAUUGUUCCACUAUGGGAGACUGCCACAUGACGUCUGCAGGGAGGAUGGCCUCUGACCCAUAUACGAGGAAGUAGGGAGAGUGCCUAGUAGAUUUGCAUGGUUGGGUGCGUAAUCCCUAAAGAACAUUGGGUAGUUCUUUGAGCCAUUUGCCUCCUUUUGUGUUGCCAAUGUCUUGCAACCUUUUCUUAAGAGCAUUGAGUAACAUGCCGUUGGCACGCUCGACUUGGCCGUUGGCCCUUGGGUGAGCUACGGAGAUGUAUCAUACGUCAAUACCGUUGUUCUCGCAAUAUUCCCAGAAGUCAUGAUUGUUGAAGUUGGACCCCAAAUCAGUGAUGACCCUGUUGGGAAAACCAUAACGGUGUAUGAUCUCAUCUAGGAAGUCGAGGACUCGGUCAGCCUUGGGGCAAGUGACGGGUUUGACUUCAAUCCACUUGGUGAAUUGGUCAAUGGCUAUGAGUACUCGAUUAAAUCCUCCUGGCGCAGUUGGGAGUGGUCCGAUCAUGUCAACCCCCAACAUGCAAAUGGCCAUGUUGGAGGUAUUGUAAUGAGCUUGUAGGCGGGGACAUGCUGUUGCUUAGUGAAGAACUAGCAGCCUUGGCAUCUGUGGACUAGUUGUUUUUCAUCAGCAAGUGCCAUGGGCUAGUAGAAACCUACUCUGAAAGCUUUGCCCACAAUUGUUCGUGAGGAAGCAUGAUUACCACAAAUUCCUUUGUGUAUUUCUUCCAAGGUUUCUUAGCCUUCUUCUUGGGUGACACAUUUCAUGAGUACCGCAGAGGAUGCGCUCCUUCUGUAGAGCUUGUUGCCGACUAGAACGUAGCUUUUCCCUCAUUGCGAAACUUGUUCAGCUUGGUUUUUGUCAGACGGUAACUUUUGUUUUUUUGAUGUAGUCUAUGAACGGCAACCUCCAGUCAACUUCAAUCAUCAUGAUUUCUCGGUCGGGUUCUGGAGGUUUGUAGUUGCUGGAGUGGCUUGUUCCAGUAUGGAUGGCUUGCGGAGCUCGUGUACAAAAAUUCCUGCUGGAACUUCGGCACGAGUUGAGCCCCUUUUUGACAAUAUAUCAGUAGCUACAUUGUUGUCGCAGACGACAUGAUGAAAUUUCAACCCUGAGAACUUAUUUUCUAGCUUGCAGACUUCCUUACAAUAGGCGUCCAUGUUUUCCUUGUUGCGAUCCCAAUCAUCAUUGACUUGGUUAAUGACUAGCAGUCAUUUGAUUCCGAGUGAGAUUGCGAGACGAAGACCAUGUAGCAGUGCUUCGUACUCGGCUUCGUUGUUUGAGACUUCCCAAAAGAUCUAAAGAACAUAUUUGAGUUGUUCAACUUUUGGAGAAAUCAAGAGUACUCCUGCGUUGACUCCUUCAAGUUUGAGGGAACCGUCGAAGUACAUGACCCAGUGUUCUGGCCUUUCGACUGGUGUUGGUACUUGAUUUUCCCUCCAUUCAGCUAUGAACUCGACCAGAACUUGGGAUUUGAUAGCUGUUCUUGGUUUGAAGUCCAAAGAUAGAGCUCUGAGUUCUACUGCCUACUUGGAGAUUCUACCCAUUGCAUCCCUAUUGUGAAGAAUUUCGCCGAGCAGGAAGUCGGUGAUGACGGAUAUGCUGUGUUCUUGAAAGUAAUGUCACAGUUUCCAUGAAGUGAGCAGGAUUGCGUAGAGUAGCUUCUGCACCGGUGGGUAUCGGGUCUUAGAGUCUGAGAGUACUUCACUGACGAAGUAGACGGGUCUCUGGACUUUGUAAACGUGGCCUGAUUCAGACCGUUCGACUACCACUAUGGUGCUGACAACAUGGGUUGUAGCAGCUAUGUAUAGGAGCAAGUCUUCAUUUGGGAAUGGAGCGGUGAGGAUUUGUGGUUUUGACAAGAAUUCUUUGAGUUGUGUCAAGGCUUUGUCUGCUUCCUCUGUCCAUUGAAACUUGUCCUAGCAUUUGAGUAGCUUGAAGAAGGGUAGUCCGCGCUCUCCAAGUCUUGAGAUGAAUCGAUUGAGGGCUACCAUGCAACCUAUGAGCUUCUGCACAUCCUUGAUGCCAGCUGGAGCUUGCAUAUUUGUGAUGGCAGAUAUUUUCUCCGGGUUAGCCUCAAUGCCACGGUGGCUAAUGAUGAACCUGAGUAGUUUUCCGGAGGGUACACCGAAAACACAUUUGUUAGGGUUAAGUUUCCACCAGAAUGCUCGUAGACUCAAGAAAGUUUCUUCUAAAUCGGUGAUUAGAUCAUCCUGGUCUCUUGUUUUGAUGACUACCUGAUCCACAUAAGUUUUUAUGUUGCGGUGUAAUUGCUUCUCCAAACACAUCUUUAUGGCACACUUAUAGGUCGCACCCACGUUUUUUAGCCCAAAUGACAUUGUUUUGUAGCAAAAUGCACCAAACACGGUGAUGAAAGUUGUUUUGGCUUGAUCUUCUUCAUUGAGGCUUAUUGGAUGAUAGCCUGAGUAGUAAUCAAGAAAACACAGCAAUGCGCACCCAGCUGUGGAGUCGACUACUUGGUCAAUCCUGGGUAGUCCAAAGGGGUCCUUUGGGCAAUGUUUGUUGAGAUCUGUGUAGUCAACACACAUCCUCCAUUCGUUGUUUUUCUUGCAAACGAGUACAAGGAUGGCUAACCAAUCAGUAUGAAAAACUACUUUGAUGAACCCUGCUGCGAGUAGUUUGGCCAGCUCUUUCUUGAUUGCGUCUCUUCUGUCUUGAUCAAACCUUCGUAGGUAUUGUCUUUUCAGGGUAGCCUUGGGAUCAACAUUUAGUGAGUGCUUAAUCAGUUCCUUGGGCACACCGGCAUGUCAGCUAGUUUCCAAGCGAAGAUAUCGUGGUUAGCCCCAAGAAAACUGAUGAGCACGGUUUCCUAUUUAGGGUCUAACUAUGUUUCAAUUAGAGUUGUCUUGGAUGGGUCACCAGUCUGGAGAUUAAUGGUUUUGAAGUCUUUCUCACUUGCUGGUUUGAUUUUUGUUGAUCCCGACUUGUUUUAUGGCAUUUCGAGUUCUGAUGGAUUAAGUUUCUUUGAAGCCGAGAAGACUUGUUGCAUGGGGCUAGGUGCUUGAGAAGUUGCUGCGAUUUCCGCGGCUUCGGUGUCGCAUUCGUAUGAUUGCCUUAGGUCCGCACGUAGUUUUAACUCUCCCUUGGGUCCUAGCAUCUUGAGUACCAAGUAGACGUAAUGUGGUAUAGCCAUAAACUUGGCCAGGGCUGGCCUGCCGAGUAUGGCAUGGUAAGAGGUUUCGAAGUCGGCAACUUCGAAUAUGAUAUAUUCGGUUCAGUAAUGUUCCUUAGUGCUGAAAGUUACUGGUAGGACAACUUGGCCUAGCAGUAUGGCUGCAUUUCCUGGGACAAUCCCGUAGAACGGUGAGUCCAUUGGAGUGAGCAUGUCUGUGAUGUCAAGGCACAAUUUUUCUUAAUGUUUUGGCGAAGAUGAUGUUGAGUCCACUUCCACCGUCAAUGAGUACUUUGGUCAAUCUUGAGCCUACAACAAUAGGGUCGAGUACCAGAGGGAAUACCCUGCUUCUGAGAAACUUGUCCAUUGAUCCUUUCUGCUAAAAGUUAUGGGUACCUCAGACCAUUUGAGCGGUGUGGGAGCUGCUAGCUCGAUGGCCAUAAUUUCUCUGAGUACUAGCUUGUUGGACCGCUUGGAUGCGGUACCCAGGAUGCCGCCAAAAAUUACGUUGACUAUCUUGGAGGCGGUUUGGAACUCGCCUUUGCCUUCAUUGUCUUUAUCAAUUUUGUUGUUGCCCAUAUCCUUUUUCUGACUAUAGUCUUUGGGAGGUGGUGGUGCGGGUAAUUCGUGCAUCACUCGACGCAUGAUGUAGCAAUCUAUCACCGAGUGUUUGCUGUUGGGAUGCCAUGGGGACUGUUUCUUGAGUAACUCGAUGAAGGUCGGCCCGUCGUCGCGUUUGCGUGACCGUUUCUUCCCAGAGUUGGUCAUAGUAGCAACAAUGUUGUCGGGUUUGCACUUGCGGUUCGGAUUACCUGAGUAGUUGUUUCGAGUAUUAUUGUUUCGGUUUCUAUACUGAUCAUGAUUGUUGUUGUCAUGACUGCGAUUGCGAUGAGAGCCGAAUCUCUCACGUUCUUUCUCUUCUUCGUCUGCCCAUUGUUGCACCAUGAUUUUGAGGUCCUUGACAGUGGUUGGACGACGUCUGCCAAAGUCUUAGUAAGCUCAAUGGUCAUAGAGGCCAUUUUGAAAGCACUCGAUAACGUCUGUUUCUAAAAUAUAGACUAUUGUGGUCUUUUUUUUUGAAGAAUCGACGCAGGUAGGCGUGAAGUGUCUCACCGUCCUUCUGCUUGACUUGGCUUAAAUCAACUUUGUUGCCUAGCCGAGACAUGGAGCCCGCAUAAUUAUUGGUAAAAGCCUUUGUCAAAUCUUCCCAGGAGUCGAUGGAUCUGGGUUUGAGUGACUCGAGCCAUGUUAAUGGUGCGGGUUCCAUGCAUAUGGGAAAAUGAAUGACCUUUGUGUCGUCGUUGCCUCUGGCUGCUUGAACUGCCAGCGAGUAGCACCGUAGCCAUUGAACUGGAUCGUGCUUGCCAUCGUACUUGGUGAUUCCUAUUGGCUUGAACUUCUCGGGUAAUCUAGUCCUCAUAACUCGUGCAGUGAAGGCAGGGAAAUGAUUAUAGCUAUCGACUUCGCGCUCGUGUCCGCGGUGACUGUUGAUUACUUCCCUUAGGUGUUUGAAAACUGAUGCUUCGUGAUCUACUCUGCGGAGGCAAGGGCUUUUUGCAGAAUUGGUGCAGCUGGCAUCUCCAGCAUCUCUAUUUCGUCUUGGGGCCUCGCGUUCAUCCCUGUUUUGCCUCUAGCUAUGUUGCCUUAGCUGGUUGACUACUUCGUUACUUUUUCUUUGAGCCUCACGAUGUCUCACCGUGGACCACGAUGUCUCUGCUGCCGUCUUGAUGGGCCGAGUUGUGAGGAAUGGAUCGAAUUGGGGAUUCUUUAUCAAGUAGUUUGCAAGAUUACUCUACGAGUUGAGCGAUUAACCCGUUGCCCCGCUGCUCGAGUUGAGUUGUUAAUUUGUUGUCUCUGUCUUGAGGUAUGAGAGUGGAUAUAAGAUUGAUUGAUGCAAUUGCUGCGAGUGGAGUGUUGUGUUCUUGGGCUUUUACUGCAUCGAAUGCUCUUUCAAGGUUCAUGAUAGGGAUGUUUGUUGCUGAUAGUCGGUGACGUUCAGCCCGAGUAGCAUUGCGUGCCCUUCUUUGAUUUCUCUGUUCCGAGGUUUCAUCCUGCGGGCAUUAGCUGAUGACUCGUCUUCUGAAACGUUGUCGAGUUGUGCUAUCCAUCGAGGAGUUCUCUGUUGGCUAGUACCCAUGUCAUUGUUUUGUGUGAUGAUGAAAAUUUCCUGGUCUAGGUAGUAGCUUCCAGAGCUUGAUGUUGCAAUCUCUGUAGUGCUUUCUUCGCGGUUUGAAGUAAGCGGGAUGCCUUCUUGAUAUGAGAGGUUGUCUAUGUGAGAGACAAGUCAUGACUCAUAAUCAUGGGCAAGGAAAGAUGGUUUCAUCCCCGGCCAAUAAACAAAUCUGCCUUGCAGGGUUGAAGUAAUUACCAAGCUGUGAGCUGGGCGUGAUAAUGGAAUUUCUUGGGCAUAGUUCGAGUCGUAGUCGCAGUCUUUGACUGACCCAAGUUCGGAUUGGGUUGGAGUGAGGAAACCAUGGUGGACCACGGCUGUGUUGCAAAGUUCAUACAGGAAUCGACUUCAAGUUGAAGUCGACGUGCGGGAUGACUAGCAUGUUAGCCCGUGCGUGCUAGUCCGAGUCAAGGUCGAGUCCGAGCCAUAGUUGAACUCGUUGUUGUUGACGUUGAAAAACUGGUUUUUCUCGGUGAAAUUUUCCAUUUCUUGCUGAAAAGAGCUUUCGUCGAGAUGUUCCUUCUCCUGGUUGCCAAUGAUGCGGCGCUGAAACGAUCUAGCACCAUCGGCGAUGCAAAGUCAGGAUCCGAAGACAAAGGUUGCGCCUGCCUCAAAGGAGAAAACAAGCUUGAGAAUGACUGAUGACAUCGAUCUUGCGCGGAGAAACUCGGCAACUCCCCCUACCUAGCACGCCAGCUAUCGGUUAUUUAGAUCGGCAACCCGCCUAGGGGGUACCCUAGGUGGUCUUUUGUGUGUUGGGUGUCGUUGAGAAUCAAGGAGUCGAUGGUGACGCAAGGAACACGAUUUAGACAGGUUCAGGCCGCUAGAUCGCGUAACACCCUACGUCCUGUGUGUUGAUUGUAUUGAACUUCUUAGCUCCAAUUUUGAGAGGGUCCCUGCCCGCCCUUAUAUAGUCGGGGAGCAGAGUUACAGGGUGGAGUCCUAGUCGAGUACGAUUACAGAGUCCUACUCCGACUAGGCAGAGUAGUUUCCUUACGCACUACAACUAGCCUUCGGGAGUCCAAUAGGAUUACAUUACCCUUUGACGUAGCCUCACAGUCCUGAUCACGUUUGAGUACACCCCUGAGUGGGCUGUACAAGGCCUACUCGUGGGCUCGAGGAUGUAUGCCCGACACAGUUCAACCACUGGCAAGUCUAUCAAGAGCUCACGCAGCCACUAUGACUCAACAGUGGCUGUAUCUAAAGUAGUAAGUUCUGCCUCCAUGGUUGACCUCAUCAAAAUGGUCUGUUUGCAAGACCUUCAUAAUAUUGCACCACCUCCAAGGGUAAACACAUACCACUCAUGGCAUAAAGCUCAUCAGCAUCAGAAAUCCAGUUCAAGUCACUAAAUCCCUCAAGCACAGUAGGGUGCCUAGAAUAGUGAAUCCCAUAACUCAUAGUACCCAUCAAGUAGGGCAUAACCCUUUCAAGUGCAUGCCAAUGAUCAGAACCCAGGUUUGACAUGAACCUGCUCAAUUUGCUCACAGCAAAACAUAUAUUGGGUCUCAUUGUGCUAGCAAACUACAUGAGUGAACCAAUAAUGUGAGAGUAUCUCAGUUGAUCUUUUGCAAUUGUCUUAUUCUUUUGAAUUAUCACACUAAGAUCAUACGGAGUUGGAGAAGGCUUGCUGUCCAUAUAGCUAAAGUGGCUCAAGAUCAUCUCCACAUAAUGGAUUAUGAAAGAGUAAUCCCAUUUUCAUCCUUAAUCAGCUUAAUGUUUAGAAUAAUAUCAGCUUCUCCUAGAUUUUCCAUAUCAAAACUCUUUGAUAGAAAACACUUGACCUCAUUGAUCACAUCAAUAUUGGUGCCAAAGAUUAAAGUGUCAUCCACAUACAAGCAUAAUAUAACUCCACCCCCACCAUGACAAUAGUACACACAUCUAUCGACCUCAUUUAUGACAAAGCCUACAGAAAUUAAAGUUAUGUCAAACUUCUCAUGCCAUUGCUAAGGCGCAUGUUUUAGGCCAUACCAAGACUUCAAUAACUUACACACCUUACUUUCUUGAACUUUCACCACAAAUCUAUCAGGCUAAUCCAUAUAGAUCUCCUCAUCCAACUCUCUAUUUAGGAAAUCUGUCUUUACGUCCAUCUGAUGGACAAUAAGACCAUAUGAGGUAGCCAAAGAAAGCAGUGCUCCAAUUGUGGUUAGUCUAGCGACAGGUGAGUAAGUAUCAAAGAAAUCUUCACCUUCCUUUUGUGUGUAGCCUUUAGCCACCAGCCAUGCCUUGUACUUCUCAAUAGUACCAUCAGGCCUAAGCUUCUUCUUGAACACGCAUUUACAACGCACUGGUUUGCAGCCAUAGGGUCGUUCAGUGAGCUCCCAGGUUCCAUUAGAACAACUUGAGUCCAUCACUUGGCAAUGGAUGUGGGUGUAUCAUCCACAAUGUACAUAGUGAAAUCAUCAUGAAAGAAUUUGGCAAUACUCUAUCUCUUACUCCUUCUAGGAGCCUCACUAUCAUCCUUCUCAAUGAACUCCUCAUGCUCAUUAGAUUAUUCAGAAGACUAAAUAAAUGCAAUUGGUUCAGGAAUUAUCUCAGAGAAAAAUCUAGAAGUGCUAUGCAUAUCUCUUAUAGGAAAAAUAUUCUCAAAAAAUGUUGCAUCAUGAGAUUCCAUAAUAGUAUCAACAAGCAUAUCAGGUACCUCUAAUUUAACUACUAAAAAUCUAUAGGCAAUGCUCCUCUGAGCAUAUCCUAGAAAGAUGCAAUCCACUGUCUUAGGUCCCAACUUGCGCUUCUUAGAAAUUGGUAUAUUGACUUUAGCCAAGCACCCCUAAGUGCACAAAUAAGAAAGUGAUGGUUUUUUCCCAACCCACAUCUCAUAUCGAGUUUGCUCUUUAUCCUUGUUCGGAACUCUACCAUGCCUUAGAUAAACUAGAAGUGUCUAACAUGGCGUAACAAGAUCACUCAGCAUGUAGUUUUUCGUCUUAGCAACCCCAUUUGAUUUGGUCAAAUAGGGAGGCAUCUUCUCAUGAAUAAUACCAUGUUCCUCACAGAAUUCAUCAAAGAUAUUUGGAAAAUAUUCGCCACCAUGAUCUAACCUUAGACGCUUGAUCUCUCUCUAGUUGAUUCUCAACUUCGGCCUUGUAGAUUUUAAUGUAGCCUAACGCUUCAUCAUUUGUUUGCAACAAAUAAACAUAGAAAAAUCUAGUCGCAUCUGUUGGGAUACGAGGUAGGCUACGCUAGCGCAAAUCAAAAUUUCUACCGCGUAUAACCAGGAAGAACUGCCGUAUAAGGAUCACGGGAUUACCACUCGACGCACUACUGGUGCGGAAGAUGUAGAUAUGCGUCGGUGCAGUGAAGACGAUCACGUAGUCGUACGUAGUCGAUCAACGUAGUCGUACGUAGUCGAUCACGUCCAGCAGCUCCUCAGCAGCUCGUCCACGUGCACAGCAAGAUCGCCUCCGGUGCCGCGGCUCGUCGUCGGCUCGUCGUGGCUCGUCGGCGGCUCGUCGAUGGCUCGUCCAAGUGUUGCAGGCGCAACACCUCUAAGGUAUCCACACGUGCAGGGAGGAAGCGUCGCAAGCCGGAUUGCUAGAUCCGCGAGUUGCAACAGGCGAGGGCGUGGGAGGCGCGGCAGAAGUGUUUCGCCAAAAGGUGUAAAAAAACUAGGGCGCCCCCACCCCUCUAUUUAUAGGGGUUCCUGAUGGGCCUCUGGAUCCGAGGCCCAUUAGCACUCCUAAACCUAAUCCAACUCGGAUCAAAUCCGAAUUGGGCUUCCAGCCCCUUAAGUGUGCGACCCUAUGGGUUCGGAUACGUAUAGACAUGGCCCGAGUACUCCUACUCGGCCCAAUAGUCGGUAGCGGCCUCUAGCAAGACGUGCCAACUCCUAUACGCAUACGAAGAUCAUAUCAGACGAACCAUCACAACAUAAUAUACAUGCUAUUCCCUUUGCCUCACGAUAUUUGGUCUAGCUUCAAGCCGACCGCUCUUUCUCGAUCCUGUGAUUCGGAAUCCCUUUGUAGGUUAACUCUUAACCGUACGUAGCAUGGCCAUGCAUUUUCGGAUCCGAUCACUCGAGGGGCCCAGAGAUAUCACUCUCAAUCAGAGAGGGGCAAAUCCCAUCUUGAUUGACCAUGUCUCAUAGCAUGCUUCUUGACAAACCCGAAAGCUACCUUUAUAACUACCCUGUUACGGCGUAGCGUUUGAUAGCCCCUAAGUAGGUCGAUCCACAUCUAGAAUACAUGCGACAAUCUCAGGUCUAAGGACAAAGCGUAUAUGUUGUUUAAAGAGAGAACUACUUCUCGUGUUGGGUCAGUCCUAACACAUGUCUCCACAUGUGUCCACAUUAUUAGUUCAACAUCUCUAUGUCCAUGACUUGUGAAACAUAGUCAUCAACUAAUACAUGUGCUAGUCUAAUAUUCAUGUGUGUCCUCACAUGAACUCCGACUAGGGACAAAUUUAGAAUAACCAUACAAGUAAAGAGUUUCACAUACAAUUCACAUAAUUGCAAAUCAAUUCAAGUAGCCUUUAAUGGAUAUUCAAUGAACACAAUAUACAAAUCAUGGAUACAGAUGGAAUAUCAUCAUCUCUAUGAUUGCCUCUAGGGCAUACCUCCAACAGCAUCAUCAAUCAAUGUCAUGAAGUAUCUCUUUCCACCUUUUGUCAACACACCAUUCAUCUCACAGAGAUCAGAAUGUAUGAGUUCUUGUGAGGCUUCCAAGGUUUCUCUCCUCAGUUGCCUUGUGAGGCUUCCAAGGUUGCCUCGAUUGCACACAGCUACGUCACUUAGAACCUUUGGCAAUAGUGAAGUUAAGAUUUAAACACAUGCUCGAAAGCCAAGACAUUAAACCAAAAUUAAUGUGACAUAGACGUGAAUGCCAAGUACUCACAUCAUCACUAAUAUUGCCACAAAUAUGGUUCACUGACUUAUUACAAAAAUCUUCAAGGGAAUAUCACACCCGAUUUUAAAACAAAACCAAGUGCUACCUAUAUGUAUGCCAGGACCAAGUUUCAUACAUAUAGUGACAUCAUAAGUGAAUAACAAUAACAGUAUCACGUAAAGGAGCACAAUAAAGACUGCAUUAAGCAUUUUUAGUUGGUCAAAUUUUAUUAGCACCUGGUUACUAAAGUAUAAGUAUAUACCAACCCACAAUUAAUAGAAAUAUAACCAUAAGCCAUAUGGCACAGCCAUAACCACGAUUUAAGUCCAUCUUCAAGUAUAUUAAUCAUGUGAGGGUCUAGGCCGCUCUAGAUUGUGAGCACGGCUGAUCGAUCAGUUUUACACUCUGCAGAGGUUGAACAUCUUUACCCACAAGUCGCGUAAAAGUUCAAAGAACUUUGGACCCUACCAUGCGGUGCCAUUUAGGCACCAUACCACACUUUCGAGGUGUGAUUGCAUAGGGACGCUACAAGGCUUUUAUAAAGAUUUGCUAGUAAGUGGUAACCUGCUAAGGUUUUAGGUCGAAGCAGAGCAUAAUAGUCCCCUAGUGGGUAUAGUGUCUUAGCAACUCUCACUUCCCAAGAGAGCGAGUGCUAUACCCCAUCAACACCUCCCCUCUUCUCCUUUCGGUAAGAUAAUUCCUAGACUAGAGUUUCUAAUUAUUUAGCAAGGACCAGAGCUAUUUAGUCUUGUGGUAGCACUAUUUUCCAAGGUGGUCACUCCAUGUUCCGAUUAAACAUUAUGAUCUUCUAUUAGUGGAAGGUAUAGCAUAAGUAAAUCAAAAUUAAUCAUUGAUUUCAGUUGAACCACCAUAACCCAAGUAUAGUACCUAAGCAUAGCUGCCCAACAAAAAGAUAAACCCAGGUUGACAAGGAAUGAUCAUAAAAAAACUAGUCAAACCUUAAUAAGACCCAUCAAAUUAAAUGCAAGCAUAUGCAAUAGUGAUUAAAUAAAGUUAUUGGGAUAAAAGCACAAGGACAGACUUGCCUUUCUCCAACGAAAAGUUACUGUUACUGGUCUUCAGCUCUUGCUCUCUUGAAACUCUUACUCUUCAAAUCUUCCAAACAGCGAUCCUUCUACAUCGAAGCAAUCACCGGCACAAACAUACAAGCAUACAAACAAGUACAACUAAGAACAAUACACCAAAAUAAAAGAAAGGCUUUAAAAGAGGGUACUAAAGGGCAGGGUUCGAUUCUAAGAUUACGCGAACAUAGGAAACGCUGAAAAUGGAACUAUGGUUGAAAAGAUAAAGCUACCGAGAGAUUUGAAUUAUAAAAGAAAAGACAAGAGCAACGCGCUGCAUCUAUUUUAGUUGAGAAAAAUUAUGUAACGAUAUUUCCAACAAAUAUCCUUAGUAAGAAUUAAUCAAGUCAUAUUUGAAUUUUCAUAAGAAAUUACAAUGUAAAACUUAGUCCAAUUUUAUUUAUAAAUAUUUAAGUAAAAUUUAUGCAAAUUAAACAUUUAAUUUAAGAAAAAUAAGAUACAUGUAAACAUCUAAGAGCAUAGCUUUAUGAUUCAAGUAGAACCAACCAAAUUAUAAUUUAAAAACAUAUUUAUAUUCAUAAUAACCAAAUUAACAUUUAAUUAUGAAACUCGAGAAAUAACCUCAGUAGCUUUUAUUUUGAAAUCAAAUUGAAAAGACAUUAAUCAAAUUGAAUUUAAUUUAUGAAAUGUUGAGGUAUGUCUCUAAUUGGCUUUUAAUUUGAAGAUCAUUUAGAUAAGUGUUAAUCAAAUUAACUUUAGUUUAUGAAAAACUGAUAUAUCACCUAAUUGGCUUUUUAUUUUGAAAAGGAUAUGAUCUAAGCAUUAAUCAAAUUGAUUUUUAUUAUGAAAAGCGGUGUAUAACUGUGAGUAGAUUUUAUUUAGAAUAGAAACACGUUUAUCAGGCAUUAAUCAAUUUAAUAUCAAUUUUACUUUCAAAAACAUGCAUGAAGGAAAACAUCACCACUAACAUGUAAUUUAUGUUGUUAUGAAUCUAACGCAACUUGAACAUGGUUAAUAAAUGGAGUUAAAACGUGGAAUCUAUGAUCUAAACAGGGUUGUAGGGACCUAGUCGCAAUUAACCGUAGAUCUCAGGGGUUAGCAACAAACAUUAUCGAGACAUGGAGAACGGGGCUCGCGAAGAAAACUUAGGGUUAGAUCUGCAAAAGGUCAACAAUUGGAUUAGAUUGAAAGAAACUGAAUAGAUUGAGGACUUCUCUGUAAAGUUGCAAGACACAUGAAAGAUGACAACGAUUUACAAGAUUUCCCAAGGGCUAGGCUGCAAAACGACCUUAUAUCCUUCUUCAAUCCUUCCUCACGUCAGCGCAUGGGGACGGCUCCGACCGGCCGGUUUGCCAUUGCUCCGGCGCGGCGGAGGCCCGGGCGGGUGGUGCAGGCAGCAGAGAAGGGCGAGGGGAGCUUGAGGGAGGUGCUCACCGGCACGGGGAUGCGACAUUCCGGCCGGAAUCGAGUGGACAGAGGAGCAGGUGGCGGCGUUGUGCAUGAGAGAGGAGGAGCGGGGUGGCGGCACGACGCCAGGCAACAAUGACAAGCGAGAGGCGGCGCAAAGGAGCAGGGGCGCAUAGGGGCUCAAGCACUCACCCUUUAUAGGCGCGGGGCCCUAGGCAUGGUGAGGAAGCCAAGGAUGGCCAACGGCGGCAGCCAGAAGCUUCGGCAGCGUACAGGCUCAUAUGGGCUCCUAUGGGCUGGAGCGGGCCAGCUUGGUGGGCCGACGAGGGUUGGGUCAGGCCCACGGGCUCAGCCCAGAAGGAUAGGAUGUAUUUCCCGUGAAAGAAAAAAUUCAUUUCAUUCACAGAAAAUACUACAAAAAUCCUAAAAAUUCCAGGAAAAAUCCUGGAGAUAGAUUGGGACACGACGAGUCCAAAUAAAAUAUUUGGAGCUUGUGAAAAGGAUUCUAGAACCAUCCAAAAAUUGAAUUUAUCUCUAUGAAAAGGAGAAUAAAUUCCAAAAAAGCUGGAAAUUUCUCAGAAGGGUCUGGACAUCGUCUAAAUGCAUUUUUGAAACUUUUGCACUCAAGAAACACCACGAUGCAUUGGCAUGAAUGCAACACUCAAAACAACCUUAUUUAAUUUAGAAAAGCAAACAAUUAUUUAUCCUAUACUUAAUUUCCUGUAAAGAAAAAUAAAUGUUGGGAAAAGUUUAUAAAUAUGAGAAAAUCAUUGUUUAGUUAUUACUUUUAAUCACAUCCUAAAUUUUAGGGUGUGAUAGGGAAAAGUGGAACAAGCCUCCGUAGUCAUAGCCUUUACCAACAAAUUGUCCAUGUUUCGACACAACUAAUUUAUUGGACUCUAACACUACCUUAAACCUGUCCUUGCAUAGGACCGAGCCGCUCACAACAUUCUUGUUGAUAGUAGGGACAUGCUACACGUUCCUCAACUUGACGAUAUUUCCUGUAAUAAGCUUUAGAUUUACCGUGCCAAUACCAUGAAUAGAAGAAUGGGACGCAUUCCCCAUCAAGACGGAGGAAUUAUGAGCAAACUAGUAAGAAGAGAACAUAGAUAUGUCUCCACACACAUAAGCAUUGGCACCCGUAUCAAGCCACCAACUGGUAGAUUGAAAAACUAAAAGAACAGUAGGUAAUAAAUUACCAUACCCAUCUCCAAUGUUGCCUAUGGUCACUGUAUUGACUCCUUGGAUCCAAAUCCAUGAAUGGCCCUUUUUAUCUUUGCAAACUGCAUGAUUUGGACAAUCCUUUAAGAAAUGUCCCACCUCACUGCAGGUAUAGCAAGACAGUUCGGCUUUGUUCAUCUUCUUCUUCUUGAAGGUAGUAGUCUUAACAACAUUGUUUUUCCCUUAAUUCUUGCUGCGUGGGAACUUCUGUACCAUGUUGGUGCUAGACUGGCCUUGAUCUCCUUUAUCAGCAGCAUCUUUAUAUCGAGCCAUCUCCUUAACAUCAAGAGACGCUAUUAGGUUUUCAACUGAUAUCUCCUGUAUCCUAUGUUUCAGUAUUGGAGAAAUUCCUCCACGUGGAAGGCAAUUUUGCAAUUAUGUAUCCAACCACAAACUUGUUAGGUAUCUCACACUUGAGCUGCUCAAGGUCCUUCACAAUGCACUGCACUUCAUGCGCUUGCUCUACCACAGAAUGGUUGUUCACCAUCCUGUAGUCAUUGAAACUCUCCAUGAGGUACAGUUCACUGCCUGCAUCUAUUGCAGUAUACUUUGUAACCAAAGCAUCCCACAACUCUUUCGCAUCUAUUGAGUCCACAUAGAUAUCGACUAGACGGUCAGAGAGCACACUGAUGAUACAUCCCACGAAAAGAUUAUUGGCAUUCACGAACUUCUGCUACUGCUAAGCAGUUAGUUCGACUUCUGGUUUGCCUUUUCUCGUGUCCUAGAUGUGCAUCGCAUUAAGCUGUAGACGGACCUUUGAUUGCCAUCUCUUAAAAAGUUCACGCCAAAAAACUUUUCUACCCUGAAUGACUCAGCAAAACCAGCAAAUUAUUUAUUAUAAGGUUUUUGGAUUGUUGGAUAAUUAGGCAAUUGAUGUAUUAAUUUCCAAAAUAAAUAAAACAUGGCAAGAGACGAUCCUAGCAAGCAAAACUCUAACAUACUAGGCAAUAAGAAUAGCAUAAUCAUGACCUCAGAAAAUAUGAUUAACAACCAGAUCAGAUCAUGGCACAUGUACCUAGAAGCCGUGAUGACGAGCGGUGCUGACGGAACGAUGACGGUGUUACGGACGAAUCAUAGCAGCUGGCAUUGGAGACGAUGGUACACCACGACGCUGGACUUGCACAGAGGACGAGCCAUGAUGACGAACUUGAGCAGUCACGCGAAGCGCUUCCCAAAAACCUUUUUCGCCCUCUCCCAGUGCAGGAUCACAAGGACGAGGGGUUCCGGAGACCUGCUCGCCGGUGCAGGAUCACAAGGACUACAGUAGCGGCGCAGCAGUAUAGAAGAGGCAAAACCUAACUCGUAUAGACCACCUUAGGGAUACCUGAACCUAAGGGGCUUUACCGUAUAGUAGUCUAUGGUAUGUCUUUUCCAUGAGCGGGUGGUCCGUCUUGAUAGGGAGGAAAACUCCCAACACUCUUGUCUAAUAGUAAUACGGGUCUGAUAGAUAGUGUACCCUCUCUUACGCUAACGAGCCUUUGAAAUUUAUUCAGAAUUAUUUAUAUGGGAUAUAUAUUAACCAUUCCUGAUCAUGCCACAACGCAUACUAGAGUAGCAAGAGAUAUAUAACAAAUAUGUGGUUGUUGGCAUAAACAUUGUCUACAUUUGUCCUUUUAUUUUUAAGAUUAUCUUGAACAACUGUUGUACCCUUGUUUAUGGAUAUUACAUCUAUUUGUCAUUCAUGAAACUGUCACUGUAUUUCCGGACAUGAGCUUUCUGUACACUGUUUUAUCUGAUAUAUAGAACUUAGACAUGCAGGCGGCAAGCACAUGCGGCAUAUUAAUCCAGCAUAACUUCAUCAUUGUCGCAGCACCAUAGGUCUGGUUUGCAGUCACCAUAUUAGACAUGAAUGCGAAAAUGAGUUUCGUUCCUGCAUCAUUACUUUUGAGUGGGCCCAACCACAACAUCAUUCAUGUGAUCCAGCUGUCCACCACCUCACAAUCAAGCAUCGGGCCUUCUCCAACAGUUGAGCUAGAACACUAGCUCUAAGCUUAUCCAUCUCAUAGAAAUAAUAGCUAAAAGAUAACUUCUCCCAUAGUUUGUCUUACAGCACACCAGCAUAACUUCAUCAUUGUCAAAGUACCAUAUGUCGUGGUUUGCAGCCAUUAUGUUAGACAUGAAUGCGAAAAUGAGUUUCCUGCUGCAUCAUACUUUUGAGAGGGCAAAACCACCACGUCAUUCACGUGAUCCAGUUGUCUACCACCUCACAAUCAAACAUCAGGCCUUCUCCAACAGUUGAGCUACCACACUGGCUGUAGGUUUUGUCCGUCUUAUAAAAACAAUAGCUAACAGAUAACUUCUCCGAUAAUUUGUCUUAUAGCAUACCAGCAUAACUUCAUCAUUGUCACAACACCAUGGGUCCUGGUUUGCAGUCACAUAUUAGACAUGAAUGCGAGAAUGAGUUUCUUCAUGCAUCAUACUUUUGAGUGGUCUCAACCACCACGCCAUUCAUGUGACCCCAACAGUUAAGUUAGCACACUAGCUAAGCUUGUCCAUCUCAUAAAAAUGGUAGCUAAGAGAUAACUUCUCCAAUAGUUUGUCUUAUAGCAUAUUGUUAAAAGCAUUUUGGAUCCUACGUCCUCUCUCAUAUCCAUAAAAUAUGGAGCCCACACUUUUUGUGAGAGUUAGCUCACGAAGAAGAGGUAGUAUACUCUUUCUAGUAGCCUUCUCUCUCUUCCAACGAGCUAGCUGAGUAGUCGAUGUUGGAGAGGCCCCGUAGAUGCUUUCUAGUAGCAGGCCGAUAGGCAUUAUUUAAACACUUCGUAGGCACUAACCCAGCUAUAACAUAACGACAUCUUUUGACAAAUGUAACACACAGACCGACGGAGAGACAAACUACAAUGUCGGCUGGUUCCAAGACCAUCCUAGUUCCGACUCACUACUAGAAAACCCAUCUUCAGUCUUAAUCCCGGUUUUCCAAUCGGGACAACCAAAUCGAGACUUAAAAUCGCUAUCUUUAGUCCCGGUGGUUUAUUUGUGCCGCCUAAAACGGUAGUACUAAGUGGAUGUGAAAUACCCGGGACUGAGGUGGAGCAUAAUGACCACCAAAAGGAGGUUCCUGACCCGCGGCAACAGCGUCUUCAUGACGUUUCUGCAAAUAACGAAGUAUUGCUUUCUCCAACAUGCUCAUUUUCUUCGGUUUCUCCUGAGGGCCAACUAUGAUUUUUCCCUUGCCAAAAGAGGAACGACGAUUGCCCCCACCAUCGCCACUUCCUCCAGUAGCAGAAGCCAUCUAUGUACAAAAAUUCUUACCUUAGCACUGCAGAACUUGUUGAACUUGAAGACCGUGAUCGUCUCGGUGAGCAUGUUCUCAACUGGGCGGCACCGUACUUCGUCAUGAAAUAGAUUCGAUUUUACGAGAAAGGGGACACAGUCUUCCACGAUGUCUGUUGCCGCUCUUUCUCAAAAAAUCGAACCUCCUCCUUGACGUCCGUUGCUGCUCCACGGAGAACAUGCUUACUGAGAUAACCACGGUAUGCCUGCAGAACUUGUUGAACUUAAAGACCGUGAUCAUCUAGCGAGCAUGUUCUCAACUGGGCGGCACCGCACUUCGUCAUGAAAGAGGUUCGAUUCUACGGAAAAGGAGACACGGUCACGAUGUCCGUAUCCACUCUUUCUCAUAGAAUCGAACCUCCUUCUUGACAUACGUUGCUGCUCGACGGAGAACAUCCUCGCAGAGAUGAACAUGGUAUGCAAGUUCAACAAGUAUGGAUUUGAAAAACCAUAUUGAAUUUGAUAAGAUAAACCGUUUAGACAAGGUAGCAUCAUUCUUAAACCACUGCAAGAAUACAUAUUAUAUAUGACACAUCAAUCUCCCUCACAUUCUAGCUCAAAAUACCUCUCCAUUUUCUAUUUCAUCACAUUCUAGCAAAUAAACUUUCCAUCUUCAAAGCAUAAAUCAAAGUGUAACACGAGGAUGAAUUAGCAAACUUUCACAACACUUGUGUUGGCUGAGUGAAAUUCCCACGAAAAUGAGGGAAAAAAAUUCGGGCAGCACCUCCCUUGCUUCGGCACCACCGGAGAGUAGGUAAAGCUGAGCUCUCUGUCUUUGUGGUGGACUGGCUUGGGCUGGAGGAGGAAGAAAGGCCUAUGUCUUGGUAUAUAAUGGGGUUGAGUUUUUAUCCCGGUUAAAACCUCCAACCGAGAUAAAAAGGAACACCUUUUGUCCCAGUUGAAAUUUUACUCCCAGUUGGAGGCUCCAACCGGGACUAAACUUUUUAUCCCGGUUGGUGUUACCAACCGGGACAAAAGGUCCACCCUUUUAUCCCGGUUGGAUCCUCCAACCGGGACAAAAGGGUCACGCCACCGACACCCCAGAACUAGCCCUUACAACCGGGACUAAAGGGGGUCUUUAAUCCCGGUUGCAAGUACCAACCGGGAGUAAAUCUCCCCUCCAUUUUUGCCUACCGUGGCACACCCCUUUUCUCCCAGACCUACUUUAAAUCGGGAUAAAAGGGGCAUAUCGAAAGUCAUUUCUCUACUAGUAUGAUGCUGGAGAGGCCCCAUAGAUGCUUUCUAGUAGCAGGCCGAUAGGCAUUAUUUAAACACUUCGUAGGCACUAACCCAGCUAUAACAUAACGACAUUUUUUGACAAAUGUAACACACAGACCGACGGAGAGACAAACUACAAUGUCGGCUGGUUCCAAGACCAUCCUAGUUCCGACUCACUACUAGAAAACCCAUCUUCAGUCUUAAUCCCGGUUUCCCAAUCGGGACAACCAAAUUGAGACUCAAAAUCGCUAUCUUUAGUCCCGGUUGAAAUACGGUCGUGCACAAUACUUGGGUUCGAACCUAGGACUUAUUGCAUCGCGCGUAUACGUAGCUUCCUUACUGUCUCACCUGCACAACAUAUGUGGUUGAGAAAGAGAUGCUUUCCUUUUGAAGUCACCCAUGGGAACCUUUUAGUCACCCAUGUAACACAAACCGGGACUAACACAAUAUAUAAAAAAACUUUGAUGUUUGUCAGGUCGAUGAGUAUCGAUGGUGAUUAAUUAUGUCCCAAAUAUUUUUGGUAUAUCCUCCUGAUCGGUUAACAUUAUACCAGUUGAUUUGAUUGCGGUAAUAGCAGUCAGUUAGAAGUUUGUGGCUUUAUCAUGCCAAGUCCGGAGUAGUAUAAAGGUCAUUGGACUUGUUCAGUACUGUUAUAUGCCUCGUAUGCUCAAUAAGGCUAGGGAAGUAGUCUGUGGCCUCCAUUGACAUGUUAAAUCUUGCAUGUAGUAUGUGAAGGAUCAAAAAUCCUUAUUUUGUAAAUCUACUAUAUAUUUGCAAGGGGCACUGCAUCGGUGUUAUGCUGAAGCUUGCCCCCAACAUAAACCAUCUCCAUAACGGAAGUAAUAUUGUUAUUUUAAUGUUUUAGUUUAAUUUGCAAGGAGAGUGCCAUACGUAAGUAUGGGUCCAUUUGGUUUAUCUGGACUAUUAGACCUUAUUCAUACUUCUCCACCAACCCGUGGUCUGGCAUGGGUAAAUAAUUUUUAGAGGUAAAAGUACUAUAGAAUAUUAUAUAAAAAUUUGGGACCCAUAGCUAAUAUUCAAAAUUAUUUACAUUAUAUCAUGCUCUCACUAAUCUAUUAAAUAUUUUAACGCAACACUCAUAUAAAUAUAGAUAUGUACUCAUCUUAAGUCGGAUUGUAAUAGCUUUAAUUAGUAGUUAGAACGCAUGGUGCAGCAGCCACAUAUAAUAUUGUUUGGAUACAAGUAGUUGUACUGCCUUAAGAAACAGGAUCAUAAUAUGCAAAUCUCUCUACUAAAGAAAAUUCCUGAAUGACUUUAGGAGUUCCAAUGAUAAAGAUUUGAGAUAACCAUGCGAUCAUUAUCUUAAUUGUACGCAAUCCUCUACCUAGAGUGAUUGUAUGCAGAGAACCAAUCUGAUGUGAUGACAAGGCUGCAUUUUCCGGCUGACUUUUGACUUCUCUUGGGAGAAAUUUUCCUAAUCAAAUGGUUGCGACUACAAUUGGGCAAUAAAGAUGAAGUACAGAUUUCUUGAUAAUUUAAUAUGUGGAUCCUUCCAUGCGCACAUCAUUAGUGUGAUCUCGUCGUCAUGAUACAUGGUAAUAUAGAUUUGAAGAUGCCAUCCUAUCUCUGAUGCCAUCCUAUCUCUGAUGUCAACGUUCUCUGAUGGCAACGUUCUCUGAUAUAAUUGUUGGAGAUGUCUCUCCUAUCUCUGAUGGCAACGUUCCAAAGGUCUCUGGUCAACAUCUUGUAUUAAAGGGGUAGGAUCAUCUUUAGUACUAGGGGCUUCACCGUUGGCUGUAAAUACCACCAUGUAACCCUCCAUGAGGGAGGAACUUGAUAAUUAAAUACACACAUUCACAAAUGGUGAUUCCUUGAGCUCUUGCUUGGAGGCUCAGGGGGGCUUAUCGACUGGACGUACGUAGGGUGCCUUGUGAUCCUCAAUUUGAUAAAACUCGUGUCAAGACAACUCCUGGACACAAGAACCGUAAAACGGCCCACCGUCCCCUCAAAACUCAUGUUUGUUUCCAACAACAAUCACAUCGAUUACAGGAAUUUUUCUUUAAUUUUUCAGCGAAUAACAAGAAGACAAAAAGGAAGACAAUAAUCAAAUUGCAUUGUCUGGACAUGAUAUUUCUAGUAUUCAGAAUUGUUAUUUCGUUUUUUUUUCAUCGCCAUAGAUAUCUUACCAUGUUCUUGUUCAUUUGCUCUUGUUCGGUAGAGAGUAAUUAAAUUUUUCUUCAUAUACAACACAAAUAAUUUAUUUCCAACAUGUACUUUUUUAUACACAAAUCAUUUGAAGAAAAAAACAUCAGUUGAUCGCAAGAGGCACAAGUCACGCGAUUUUUACGUGUAAUAUGUGCGUGCGCGGUCCACGUGUAAUAUGUGCGUGCGCGGUCCGCGGGAUUCGAACACCUUCGGCCUCACGCGAUCCUUUGUUACCACUCCAGCUACACAACAUAUGUGAUGGAUGUGGAUAUGCUUUCCUUUUGAAGAAACCCGUGGAGAGACUUUUAGUACCGAGUCGUAACACCACCGGAUACUAAAAAGUGACCCUUUAGUACCAGAUGGUAUUAUGACCUGAUACUAAAAGUUCUAGGCUUAUAAUUAGUACCGGUUGGUGUUACGACCUGGUACUAAAAGGCCUUCGGGACCCCCAAUUUUGGACCUGGUACUAAUGCUUACAUUAGUAUCGGCUCAAAAAGCAACUGGUACUAAAGUUGAGGAUGAAUGCUCGUCUUUCUAGUAGUGUCUAAUUAAAAGCAUGUAUGCGAUAUGCACUAGACUGACUUAUUUCCGUAAAAUGCCAUAAAAGUAGAUCUAUCCAUGCUCCUAUGUCCAAAUCUCUUUGAUAGCACCACGUAUAGUGUAUAGGUAACACUUCGCUCGACAAUCAAUGAUAAUAUAAUACACAGCCCAAUAUCUCAUACUCCGUCUGCUCCAAAUUGUAGAUUGUUUUGCCUUUUCUAGUUCAUAGAUAUUAUUAUGCAUCUAGACAAUAGAUAUUAUUAUGCAUCUAGAUAUAGUGUAUGUCUAGAUGGAUAAUAAUAUCUAUGAACUUAGAAAAGCCAAACCAACACACAAUUUGGAACAGAAGGAGUAGUACGUAGUAGAAUAUGGUGUGGUGGUUUAAUACACUACGGAAACAGUAAGUUUGCCGAGUGCCCCAGGCACUCGGCGAAGGCCCAAAAACACUCGGCAAAGAGUUUGCCGAGUGUAACACUUGGCAAACAGGACUCGGCAAACUUUCCCUCGGCAAACAGUGAAUUUGCCGAGUGUCAAAUGUCGGGCACUCGGCAAUACUUUGGCGAGUGUCAGGAAACACUCGGCAAAACAAAACACUCGGCAAAAAGGCAUUGACGGACUGUCAUGGUAAUGACGCCUUUGCCGAGUGCCAAACGGGAGAACACUUGGCAAACAUUUACGUUUUGCCGAGUGCCUCCGUCCCGACACUCGGCAAAGAGUCUAAAUGUUGCCGAGUGUCGUGGCCAUGACACUCGGCGAACUUUUAGUGUUUGCCGAGUGUCGUGCCCAUGACACUCAGUAAAGUAGUCACAGAUUAACAGAAACUGGCCUCUUUACCAAGUGUCAACACUCGGCAAAGUGUCCUUCCUCCUCCUAUAAAAUAGAUUAGUUACAUAUAAAGGACCCCUCUCAAAAAACAACCACAGAAGCAUCACAGGCAUAUAAACUGCAUCAUAGGUAUAUAGAUUGCAUCACAAGCAUCACAAGCAUACAAAUAACAUUCAGAAGUACAUAUAGGUUCUAGUCUAAACAAGUAAUUCACAAGUUUGCUUAACACAAUAGCUGUUUAAACAAUUCACUGAGGAGGAUGUGUAGGUGGCCACUACCCCCAAGAUGAUUUUGCAUUGGAUGCCACCGAUUGAUUCUGCACAAAGUUAAAGAGAUUGCAUUAGUCACUUUUCUAGUGUAAGUUUCUAGUGCCUGUAGUUUUUAGUUUAAUUCUAGAUCGAUUGUAAGGUUGAGAGUGACUCAUAGGAGUAGCUGCAGGAGGUGGAGGUGGCGGGAAUAGGUUCGGUGGCAUAGGUGGUGGAGUUUGACCUAAACUCUGAAAAAACACUCUGCAUGUAAUGGAACAUCGACUCCGUCCUCUGCCUUUCUAUCUGCCGAUGCGCCUCGAUCCUCGCCUCUAGAUCCUCCUGUCGCUUCCGUUCUACUUCCACCUGGGCCUACAAUAUUUCAUCCCAAUGUCUUAUUGCAAAGAAAAAGGUACGUAAAAAUCAACGGAAGAUGAAACAAAUAGAAAUAACCUACAGAGCCUGCAUCUGUAACUGUGCAGUGGUCAGGUAUGCCCGUAUCGUGGGGCUAGAGUCCGUGCUCCUUGCUCGGAUCUGGGAGAGACUAGGAGUACUGGCAGUGUCGAUCACGCUAUCUCCAAUCCAAUACCGGCCAUGCUUCUUGCCUCCUCCCACCCUCAUCACAAUUUCUGCAUCAAUAUCCUGAGAGCUCGGAUCGAACUCUGGCCCAUGAACCUCCCUUACCAUUGAUGUGUACUCGGUGAUGCGGCUGUGGAUGCUUGGAUGGCUGUACGCCUUGGGCGGAUCGUCCGGGUUGAAGUCGAUGUCGGCCGUUGCCUUGCCCUUUUUGGACAUAACCUAUGCCUUGAACCAGGAGCACUCCUGGCCAUCAUGUGAUGACGUCUGCGGCACAAAUGCAAAAGGAUUAGAAAUUAUGCAGUAUUGAGUAUGAGAAUAAAGAAAUGAAUUCACGUACCCAUUUUUCCUUGUAUUCAUCAAGGUUCAUGCUAUCUUGAUGGUGUGAUGCAUAUGGCAUCUGCAGACACCGCUCCUGGCAAGCAAGGUGGUUCUCCAACCACCCGGGCUGCAACCACACGUCCACCAUUUGUUCCCAGCAUCGGAUAUAGGCUCGGCACCACCACGGAGGCACCUACAUCAUCAAGUGUGUGGCAUAUAACAAAAGAAAUUAAGCAAAAAUAAUCUUAGAAAUAGUAAAUAUUAACUUUCUAUACGUAUCGUCAUGAAUUCUUCCUUGGUCAGGUUCAUUGUCCUUGCCUCUUCUUUUUUGACCUUUAUCCUUCUGAAUUCAGCAUAGAAGUCGAUGAUGGCCUGAACCCGCGCCUUGUAGUGCAUGUCCUUGACGAGAUUCUUGGCGGCUUGUUCAGUGAUGAAGGCCGCCCUAGCCUCGAAUCCCUCCUAGCAUCUUAGAAGUCCUGAGUAUAGACACGUUGCAUACAGUUAUUAUUUCAAGAAUGACCAGCGAAGCUGAUGUAUUAACAAAUGUAGUGUUGCGAAUACUUACCCACAGCUCGGCCUUCACCCACUCCGCCUUGUUGGUGAAUGUCCUGUGGUCACAAUCACCGACGUCGGCAGUGGCGACGUAGUGGUCCCAUGUGUAGGCCGGCUCCUCUUGUCCGGCAAAGACCAGUAGAUCAGGGAAGUGUAGCCUACACAAAAAGACCAAGGAUGACGUUGACCUUGCGGUUGUGGCCACCCCCACUGAGCUUAAUCCAACUCCUACACAAGUGAUUAAUAUAAAUUAUUAGUUUCUAUUGUAAUUUUGAACAUAUCAAAAAAUACUGAGAAUAUGUAAAGGAACUUACUUUGCCCUAGUGGGUUGAAUCAGUGGGCGUCUAUGAAGAGGGAUCAGUCGCCUCGGGAGGGAUGAGGGACCUCGCAACCAGAUCUUGGACUGCGAAACCCUUGCCUCCUCCCCUUCCUCCCUCUCCUGCUCCUGCUCCUCCUGUACCUCCACCUCGUCACAAGAGGCGUGCGCGGAAGGUAUCUCCUCCUCCUCAGAUGACCGGGGCGAAGGUACAGGUGACGGGGGCCUCACCCCUUUACCCUUUCCUCGAUCCUUGCCUCGACCCCUGCCUCUACCCAGGACCUGUGCCUCCUCUGUUUCCUCGACCAGUGCGUCAUCCCUGCCUUCACCCCUGCCUCGACGCCUUCCUCAACCCCUCGAUGCGUCUGACCUUGUACCUGACCCUGAAGCUGACCCUGAAGCUGCAUCUUUGAAUUUUUCGUAAAGCGCUGCGAUCUUCCUCGUACCGCCCACCAUUGUUCAAUCACCUGCAAUUACAAAGAGUAAAUCAAUCAGCAUAGAUAAAAAAAACAUACUUAGGAAGAUAUGCAAAAUAAACUAAACAUACUUAAAAAAUAACAUGGUAUGACAAAUAAUAAAUAAAUUAGUAUGGUCCAUACAUGUAUUAGAAAUAAUCGUCAUGAUCGGGAUUAGCUGGAUCAUAAGUCUCAUCAUCACUGUCAUGCGUGUCAAAAAAUCAUUCCUGUGCUCCGAAGGAGGAAUGUCAUCAUCAAUGUCCUAUCCUAACUGUAAUCGCUGAAGUAAUUCUAACUCCUUCAUAUUAUGAACCUAGAUGAUUCGCACUUCACACAGUACUUUGCUUCCGCAUACUCUUUCCUAAAUAAGAUGCAUCCCUUUGGGCAAGCAUGUAUAUGCUCGUAUGGCAUCUUAAGUGCACGAAGGAGUUUUUGUGCCUCGUACAUGUUCUUUGGCAAGAUGUGACCCUUUGGGAGCAGGCUCCCAAAAACUGUCAACAUAAUAUCGAAGGCAUCUCGACUCAAGCUAAACUGGGACUUCAUGGCCAUUAGACGUGUAAUGGCAUCCAGUUGAGAAACCUUGGUAUGCCCGUGAAGGGGUUGCUGUGCCGCAGACAACAUGUGGUAAUACGCCUUUGCGGUAGCCUCUGGCUCCUCCUGCCUACGUGCUUCAUGAUAGUCAUCUAACAUGUCUCCCACCCCGGCAUCAUCAUCAUAUUCCUCGACGCGUUGUCUGAUGAACUCAUCUCUCCCACGAUCGGCUUCAUCAUGGUAGAUCCACCUGGUAUAGUCUGACGUAAAUCCGUGCCUAACAAGAUGUUUACCCAUGUCUAGCUUGGUUUGCCGAUGCAUGUUUCCACAUUUGCUACACGGACACCAAGUAUCUCUUGCUCCUUUGAUCCUUGCAAAUGCCCGUUCCAAGAAAGCAUCAGUCUUGUUAAUCCAUUCAUCGAUCAACGAAUUCUGACUAGAGCGGCCCAUGUACAUCCACUCACGAUCCUCCAUCCUCUAGCAUAUCAGCGAGUAAUAUAAAAAAUCACAUUGCAUCUACACAUUCCUAUACUGUUUAUUAGGUGAAGAUAGGUCCUAAUUCCACCCGAGGAUGUGUAGGUCAGUUUAGUUUCCAUGGUCUACUCCGACCCGAGAUAGAAUUUCGGCGGCACCUCCCCGCUGAGCUCCUCCACCCAGAGUUGGAGACAUGAAAAAUGUGUAUCCGGAGAACAUUACCCAGGUGCUGCCGAUAAUGUAUCGCUGGUAGGAGCAGAGUGGGGCACCUACGCCAGGCUAAGAUCCACGUCUCCUACGCUUCCUAGCUACAAUUCUCUCAAGAGUCGGGGUUUGUAUUCAAAGGUUUUGNNNNNNNNNNNNNNNNNNNNNNNNNNNNNNNNNNNNNNNNNNNNNNNNNNNNNNNNNNNNNNNNNNNNNNNNNNNNNNNNNNNNNNNNNNNNNNNNNNNNACUUAUUACUUUUGUAAUUUCUAAUUUCCAUUUCAUCCUACCACCUCUCUACCCUUUUCUAAUUUCUAAUUCCAAUUUUGUAACUUGAAGAACAAAGAUUGAAUACCGGGAGGGGUGAGGGACACCGGCCUAGAGAGGCGAGGGGAAGUCCGGUGGCGGCGGGUGCGCGGGGGGCGGGGGCGCCGAGCCUGGGGCGGCCGGGCCCGAGGGUGCCGAUGGCGGGGGCGGUCGGCGGGGCCGGGGGCGCCGGUGGUGGGGCCGCCGGGGCGGGGGCUAUGCGCGGGGCGGCGGGGUUGGGGCGACGGGUAGGGUGCGGGGCACCGGGGCGGCGGGGCGGGGGCGACGGGUAGGGCGCCGGGGGCGACGGGUACGGCGGGCUGCCGGAGGAAGAGGGCGGGGGGUUGGGGGGGGGCGGAAGGCGGGCCGCUGGGCAGGCGAGGGUGGUCGCCGGCGGCGGCGGAGGGCAUCGGCGGCAACGAGAUUCGUUUUGGCACCUGAGUGUUCGAGUCAGAAGGCCGCGGGACUUAAGUCAGGUGGUUUGCCGAGUGCCCACGAUCUGGCACUCGGCAAAGUCAAAAGGUUUGCCAAGUGCCAGAUCACGGGUACUCAGCAAAGUGAAGUUUUAAUUUUAUUUUGAAAUUUUCAAUCGGAACACGCGCCUACCAGCGGGCCCGUGUACAUACUUUGCCGAGUGUGUAGCGAAAACACUCGGUUAAACAUUAUCUUUACCGAGUGUCUUCACUAGACAUUUGGCAAAGUACACUUAUAUUUCAUGUGCACUUGUUCAAUAACGUGUUUUACUAACCUUUUUCUGAUAUACUUAGGAAAAACCAUGUCAAAUUCACUCAACAAUGGAUAUAUGAUUUUCUACUAAUAUUAUUCCAUUAUUUCAUGCAGUUAUAGCUCAAAUUGAAUUUAUAUCUAUUAAAAAUCUAUAAUUGCAUUUAAUCAAUAAAAAUUAUCAAACGGAUCUGAAAAAUUUGCAAAAUUUGACAUGAACCAAUCUAUGUUGUAUGUUGCCUAUACAAAAAUCUUUGAAGUCAAACCCCAAUUCAAGUGUCACUUGGACUCCAAAUCUUAUCGGAUCCUUUCUAACUUUUACGAAUCCUUUCGGGAGAUGAGUCGGUUUGUAAGCAUCAUAUGUCAGAAAUUGGCCGAAACCUUCUCAAUUUUUUACCAUAGCCUCCACAUAUAAUGUCAUGACAUCUUGACAAAUUUUGUGACUUUUAGACUUCGUUUUCUUUGUUUAGAAUUUAAUAACCAUUCAACCACACGUUCGUGGUCGUGUUUUCUAAAAAAAUGUUCAAAAUUUCUUUUCAUUUCCUGGUUGAGACCUCAAUCCGGAUUCAAUAAUAUGAAUAUGAAUUUUUCACUGAUUUUAUUCCAUUAUUUCAAUCACUUGCAGUUAAAAUUUGACAUAAAUAAACAAAUUCCUAUUAAUGCUAUCAAUUCAUUAAAAAUAGCAAACAGACCAAAAAAAUAGACCAACUUUUAAGAUGGAUUACCAAAUGUCGUAUGUGGGGAGUAGAAAAAGUGUGGAGGGCAGAGGUGGAAAAAAAGUUUUGCCCUUGUCGAGUGCCUACACAAACACUCGGUAAACUUCUAAGUUUGCCGAGUGCCUGUGGAAAACACUUGGCAAACUUCUAAGUUUGCCGAGUGUCUGGAUGAAGCACUCGACAAAGUACUAACGGCCGGGACACUACCCUGACGGACGGUGCAUGUGCGAGCCACGUGUUGGAGAUUUACCAACUGUCAAAUCGUUGCCGAGUGUCGUGUGGAUUUUUGCCAAGUGUCUUAUUUGUGACACUCGGCAAAGUUGUUAUUUGCCGAGUGUAUUAUUUAUGCUGAGUGUCCCCAAUAUACACUCGACAAACGAUGUCUUUGCCGAGUGCCCAACAUAAAGCACUCGACAAAGAUUUGACACUCGGUAACGUUCCUGUUUCCGCUAGUGAUACCAUCUUGUAAGUUCAGGGGAUGAGAGCCAGCUUAAAUCAUUGUCAUUCCAAAUAUAGUAUUUCUUGAGUUAACCUUUUCACACGAAGUCAAUACGAAAAUGUAAGAGAUAUAGUAUCCAUUUAUGAAUCCGUUCCACAUGAGUUGUGUAGGAUCGAAUCCCUGUAAUCGCUAUCAGAGGGGGGUGAAUGAUAGCACAAAUCCUCUGUGCCCCACCUCAUCUCCCACCACAGCCGGACCACCUCCACAUCCGCACCUCAGCUACCGUGUUAAUUCUAUGCCGUGGCGCCUCCACACGCGCAGCCUCCGUUGUGCCUCCUUGCGUGCAGCCUUCGCGCUGUUGCGCCUAGCUCAUGUGUGGACCGCUGCACCUCCUCACCGCUACAGCACCAUCCGCUGAGAGCAAGGGCCAACACUGCCCUCGUGCAACCGCCAUCUGCUACCCCCGUAGCCCACUGCCCGAGCAGACCCGGUCCCAUGCUCGCUGAAUCUGGUCGCAACUCAUCGCUGCAUCGCGUGCGCCCGCAGCAGAUCCGGGCGAGCUCACAGCAGACUCGGGCAGGCCCAUCUUAUUGGGCCCUGUUGCGGCCAUCCUAGCUGCCACACAGGCUUCUGGCGGCGGCACGGCAGGGUUGAGGGAGGAAAGGGUGGCGGCCCUCGGGCUGUGCGGUCCGCCAAUGCUGCCUCUGAGAAGGAGCGAUGUGGGGCUGUGGAUGCAGUGGCCGCUUUAGUGUACAACUAUAGUUGCAUCCUUAUGCUACUACUUUUGUAGAUUGCUGUUGUUUACAGCUCUGUAAAUGCUUUAUUUCUGUGAUUUCCUCUCAUGAUUGUUUUUUAACUAUUAUUGUAUCUCUUACAUUUCCCUUUCAGUGUAUUAUUUUUUCAUAUAUGCAUAGCUGGGAGCCUGGGACAUGUGCGGAGGUGCAGCAAGUACUACCUCCGUCCAUAAAUCUAUAACAUUUUCAUUUUUUAAGUCCUAAAUAUGCAAGUCAGUACAAGUGCGAGUCUACACCGCAAAUACAGAUACCGUUUCCCUUUCCCAAAAUUGUUUUAAUGUAGGCGACCACACAACUUGCCCUCCACAACUUGCCAUCCACACAUGCUCCAUAUGCCUGCACCUAAAUUACUGAUUACUGAGAUACGCACUCAAUCAUCUGAUCAAAUAUAAUCAAGUGUAGCUCGAUCGCUAAGCCAGGCCGAUGCACUCUAUUUAAACCUAGCAAGGAACUUAUAGCGAAGCAAACACAUCUCGGAACACAUAGACUACAACUAGAACGAUACAGCCUGUGUGUGUGUGUGAGAGAGAGAGAGAGAAUGGCUGCUGGUUCUCAGACUAUCAUAGCUCCCACAGAUGCUGAGCUCCUGCAGGCGCAAGCCGACCUAUGGCGCCACAGCCUCUACUACCUCACAUCCAUGGCGCUCAAGUGCGCUGUCGAGCUUCACAUCCCAACUGCUAUCCAUAACCUUGGUGGGGCUACCUCGCUGCCAAACCUGGUAACCGCAAUAUCGCUUCCUCAGACUAAGCUUCC